GCCUAUUUUAUCACAAGUUUUCUAUUAUGGAAGAAAUUUCCAAGGAAGGAAGCGAAGGCGUUUGUUUCUUCAUGAUUAUUGCAUGAACACAGACGCGGCGAUGUAAGAAUGUUUGGUGCAAAAUAGUAAACAAGUACUUAAGACCAUUAACUACGUUCCAUCGAAGAAGCUUCAAACACAAACAUUCAACAUUAACAUAAAAACGUCCCGCCCUUGCAACUCCUCCCAACACCAUUCUAAAACACCAACGUCUGCCCUCCCCAAAGCAAGUUAAAGAAAAUAGAUAGACAACACACACAACAUAUUUCAAUAAAUGCUCCUUUUUCUGCAAUAUCCUAACAACCUUCAUCCCAUGGCAUACUUCUGUGUCCAGCUCCUGGCCGUGGAUUCAUAUUUGGCCUUGUCGGACUUGUACAUGUGGGCAAUCUCCGGUACAAGAGGGUCGUCGGGAUUUGGAUCAGUAAGCAAGGAGCAGAUAGAGAGCAGGACCUGAUACACAUAUAAUUUUCAGCUGCAUAACCAACAACCAACUACUAUAUUGCCAUAAACUCAAUAUUUGAAACAGUAUUUUUACAUCAACAUCAAGAGUUUCCUCUCAAUCCACCACCAUCCAACCCCUUAUUAAAGCCAGAUUUCAACAUAGGCAUAUACUUAUAGAUUUACUGAAAUAGACUUAACAGAUGACAAAGCUUGAAAAAACUUGUACAGUUAAUGUCAAAUAAUUUCACCACAAAUAGAAGUGUAUUUGUAGGACACUGAAAGGUGUGACGAAAAUGAGAGUGAUGUUGAUCGUUUAAAUAUUUUUUAUAUAGCUGUAAUCUCAUUGUGGAGGCUUAAUUGGACCUUGGGUAGAAGGGAAGAAAGCUAGCAAAAUGAUUGAGAAAUAAAGAAGGACAAAACAAUUUCUUAAUGAACUGGGAAAUUUCAGUUCCUUUCCCUCAAAUAUCUCUGAGAUGAGAUAAAAAGAGCACGUAUCUGCUAUCCAACUUACUUUGCAAGAUCCAAAGAUGCACUUGGGAGUACAACUUUAUGAUCCCAGGGUCAGUUUUACCUGGCUGUGCAAGACCAGAGAGUUGUACGCCACUACUAAACCAGAAUAAAAAGAUUUUAAACACAUAAAAUGCUACUAAUUAAAUCCAAAAGGAGGGAAUUCAAACCUUUGAAAUGGUAAGCGCUUGAUUUGCAUUCAAAAGAAUAGUCACCUUUGGGGGCUUGAAAGGAUAAUCAGGAGGAAAAUGAAUGGUAACUAAAAAUACACCUCCUGCAUAUGGGCUAUCAGAAGGGCCCAUAAUUGUUGCUUGCCAGUGGAACAUGUCUUCAGCCACAGGGCCUGUUAAAUCAUCAAACAAGCAUUGAAAGACUAUCAAAAUCACAAAUUUAGUUUAGAUUAGAUGAAUUGAUUAAAAAUAAAAAUAAAGUUACACAUUCAGUGGCAAUACAGGCACAGCAUUUUUUACCCAAUUGAUGUGGCAUAGUAGACAACACUCAUUGAUAGGUGAUACUUAAUUACGCAUUAACAAUGAAAUAGUAAAAUCAACAACAGCCUCCAAUAAGCUACACAUUAAAGAUGGGAUACGGCGUUGUUCCCAAUUGACAUGGCCCCCAUUGAUAGAGGCUUACUUAAUUUCACAUCAGUAUUGAAAAUAAUAAAGUCAACAACAGCCUCCCAUAUGACAGCUAUUGUUCAAGAACAUGUAAAUCUUUUGUUAUCCAAUUAUAGGAUCGGGAAUUAAAUAUAAAUGUAGAUUUAGUUCAUUCAGUUUUUUAAUACAUACAAAGAAAAAGUGACCAUAAACUUCAUGCUCUCUUUGGAAAGGUUGAAAACAACCAGCAGCCAAUGAAACGACUCCAGCAUGAUAUACGUCGGUAGCCAAUCAGAAUUCAGAAUCAAUCGUAACAAAUUUCAACAACGUGUUGACACAAACAGCAAAUAUAGAUCAAGUAAACCCUAUCACCAAAUGAUACGAAAUAUAAGUAAUCUAAAAUGUGGUUCAAAUUGAAAAGUAACAAAAAUUUAUACCAGCGCUGCAAGACGUGGGAGGAUCCUUCUGCAAAUCCUUGAGUUCCUUCAAAAUACGCUUUGAAGCCAUGACUCUUCAAGGGAUUAUUAAAAUUGAAACUACAACGAACCUUAAGACCUGCGAAACUAUAAACAGAUCCAUAUACGGCUUCUUAAUUAGACUAUCCAAGCCUGUAAAACAACAAAUUAUUUGAUCUACUGCAUCUGAAUAAAAAAGUUCAAAUCAAAAUUUCGAAAAUACUAAAAAUAUAACUACGCAAACUGACCUUGCGCGGCAGAGAACAGGAUCGGAGAGCGAUAGCGUCGAGAAAGCGAAACGGUGAAGCAGAUCUAGGUCGUCAAGCCGCCCCCGCCUCGCUCCUCUAUCAACCCCUUGCUUUGUUGUCCUUCAACACAAAUAUCGUCGAGAAAGAACGUAUCGUGUUCUUUUGCAUAUAUUUAUAUACGUGGCAAAAUUUAUUUUUCCCCAUUUUUUUUGUUAUUUCUUGCAAUUUUUUAAUUAUCGUUCUUAUCCAGUUUAUUAAUAUUGUUUGUUUUGUUAGUCUCGUUAUUUAAUUUAGGGUGCUAUAACUAUUUUAUUUAUUUAUUUAUUUAUCUGGAAAGGAACUUGCGGUGCUACUACUGGCUUUGGAAUUUAUAUUCCUUGUUUUAAAGGUUACCUCGAUUACUCAAAGUUGAAUUCUUGUUGAAUCACAUGGAUUCCCAUGGUCGUGGCUACAAAAGUCAACUUAUUCGUAUAAAAGAUAUAUUAUAUACUAUAUUUAUUUUCUUUAAAUUCAUAGUUGAUCUUGAUGCCCAACGACAAGAGUGAGAUCAAAAAAAAUAUAUAAACUUUAAUUAUAAAUUAUUAAGGGCUGAUUUUGAAAAUUUUAUAGAUUCCGUAGGAAGGGAGAUUGGAUUCCAGACUAUAAUCAAUUUCGGUUUUCGGAUAUGAGAUACUUUUAUGUGUGUACUACAACUCUUAAAACAUAUAAUAAGUUAUAAGUCAUACUAAUCAAUUCACAAAGAAUGUGUUUGAAACAUAGCAUUAUAGAAAUUAAAAUAAUGUUCGUAUUAACUUACUACCAAUGAUAUGUUUAAUAAAAUUUAAGAGAUCAUUGUGGUAUUAUAAUGUUAUAAAUAUAAAUUAUUUUAGUAUUAGAUAAUAAUAUAAUAAAUAAAACAUAAAAAUAUCAUAUGAUAUUAUUACUUUUUUUAAUUAUACUCUAUUGAAUAUAACAUUAUACAAUUAUAUAUUUAACAAUUAAUAUACAAAUAAUUAUUUAAUACAAUUAAUAGUAAUUUUAAAUAAUAUUCAGUUAGUAUUAGUAUAAAAUUAAUAUAGUAUAGUGUAACAUCAAAUGCUGUAUAACAUUAUUAUAAUAUAAUUUUAAUAUAAUGCAAUAUUAUACAAUACGCCUGCAUUAAAUAAUAUAAUACAAUGUAACAUACACACCUUAUUGAUAAAAUAAUAUCUCUUAUGAGGUAUAAGACCUUGGUAAGACAUAGAAAUUUAGAAACAGUGAGGUUUCUAUCCACUCAAGAUAAUAUUUUAAAAGGGUAUUUGGUCUUUGAUAAGAUCAUAAAUUCUAAAAAGUCUCUUGAAGAGUUACAGGUUGAAAAUGAUGAAAUGUCUUUACUCACACUUGAAAUUGUGGAAUCGUAAAGAAUAUAGUCCCGUGGGUUUUUACUGAACAAAGGUCAAAUACGAUUAUUGCAAAAAGUAUGUAGCUAAACACAUGACCAAUUGAUAUGCUUCAUAGGCUGUAAAUAACCAUUAUCAUUUGUAUAUUUAAUUUAAUUAUCUUACACAGAUUUUAAUUUGUAUUUAGUUAAAAAGUUUUUUAAUUUUUUAUUGAAAAAUACAUAAGUAAUUAUUACUUUAUUAGUAUAAUUCAUUAAAUAAUUCUUAAAAGUAAAAAUCGCAAAAAAUACAAUUGGCCACCUACAGUGAUAUGUGCACGGAACAUAACACAAAAGAACAACUCACUAUCACCAAAAGAUUAAAAAAAAUAAACAAAUAAAAUAACUACAUGACAAAAAAUUCAGUACAAGAUAAAAAAAUUUCUCAUCUUUUGUGUAUUUUAUACUAUUUUCCACACAUAUAACUCCAAAAAAAAAAAAAGAAUAUUCUUUUGCCGCCGAAGAGGUUUUCAGUGACCAGGCACAGCCGCCAGGAUAUUGCAACAACGUCAAGCCUCAAAAUUUGCAGAACUUGUCAAACCACGGAAUAAAACAUAUGGUACACAAUAAAUAGAUUUCUCUAGUCAUAAUCCAUAACGCAGUUCAAAUAUUAACAUUAAUUCCCCUUUUGUUUUUUGCAAAUUUUAUCUAAUGAUAGAAUUAGUCAAAAGAGGAGGCAUUUGUAUGAUGUAAAAUGUUCGGUGCAAAAAUAAUGAAAGUAUUUUUAGGACAACAAACUACAUUGAAUGAUAGGAGUUUCAAACAAUAAACAUUCAACAUUAACAAAAUCGUCUUGCCCUUGCAACUCCUCCCCAAACAUCCUUCCUCAUUACUAAAAUACAAAACAUCCCCUUCCCGAAGCAAGAUUGAAGAAAAAGGAGAAAAAAACACAACAUAUUUCAUAUAAAUGAGUUCCAUUUCUGCAAUAUCCAAACAACUAUCCCAUGGCAUACUUCUGUGUCCAGCUCCUGGCAGUGGCUUCAUAUUUGGCCUUGUCGGACUUGUACAUGUGAGCAAUCUCCGGUACAAGCGGGUCGUCAGGAUUUGGGUCAGUAAGCAACGAGCAGAUAGAAAGCAGGACCUGAUACACAUACGUACAUAGUUAGAUAACUAACAAACAGUUAAUAUCUUGCCAUAAAUUCACUGCUUGAAAUAAUUUUCUCAGGUCAACUUCAAGAGUUUUCCCUCAAUUCACCACCAGCCAACACCGCUCCAGAUUCCAACUUUGGCAUACUACUUAAUAGAAUUACUGAAAAUUCUGGAGUAACCAGGAUAAAAAGCUUGCCAUGACUUGUACAGUUAAUUUCAUAUAAUUUCACCCCAAAACAAAAGCACAAUCACUAGGUGAGCAAUAGGAAAAUGGGAGUGAUGUGGAACAUAUAAGAAACUAUUACGUAGGUGUAAUCUCAUUGUGAAGGCGCAUUGAACCUGGGUGCAAGGGAAGAAAACUAGCAAAAUGCUUAAGAAAUAAAGAUGGACACAAUUUAUUGAUGAAUUGGCGAUGUCUGUUCCUUUCCCUCAGUUAUCCCAAAGGUAAGUUAAAUAGAGCACAUAUUUACCAUCUGACUUUCUUUCAAAGAUCCAAAAGAUGGACUUGGGACUUGGGAGUUUAACUAUAUGAUCCCAGGGUUGAUUUUAUUUAGCUGUGUUGCAUGCCACUACCAAACUAGAAUAAAGAGAUUCCAAACACAUAAAAUGCUAAUAAUGUAAAUCUAAAAGCAGGAAAUUCAAACCUUUGAAAUGGUAAGAGCUGGGCUCCACUGUUCUUUAAGGAUAUCAAGACAUAUGCUUCCAUUGCUGUUGAUGUUUGGGUGGAAGACCUUGGUCCUAAAAGCAACCUAAAUAGAAAAAAUACCAUGGGACUAAUAAGUCAAAACAAAUCAAUACAGGAUUGCUGUUGACAAGAAACCAAAUCAAACACAUGAUUUGCAUAAGAAACAAAAUUUACCUUUGGGGGCUUGAAGGGAUAAUCUGGAGGAAAAUGAAUGGUAACCAAAAAUACACCUCCUGCAUAUGGACUAUCAGGGGGGCCCAUAAUUGUUGCUUGCCAAUGGAACAUGUCUUCAGCCACCGGACCUGUUAAACAAUUAAAGAAGAUAGAAACAAUCAGCAAAAAAUAACAAAUUUAGUUUAGAUGAUAUAAAGUGAUUCAAAAAAAGAGUAAAACAACUAUAUAAAUUCGCGAUACAACAUUUGUACCCAACUGAUACAGCAUACACUGUUAAAUAGUUAAACAAGCUUUGGAACAAUUACCAAAACUUACAUAUUUAGUUAACACAAAUGAUUCGGAAAAAGAUUAAAGCUGCACAUACAUGACUGGGAUACAAUGUUUGCACCCACUUGAUGUAGAAUAUGAAGUGCCACUCAUUGAGAGGUGCUACUUGAUGACAUUUCACUAGUGAAAUAUAAUAAAGUCAACAAGUACUUUAUUGAUUGAUGACACUAUAGUUCUAUGGCUGAAAAAUACAAAAACCUUCAGUAUCAAAUUAUAUGUUAGAGAGUGUAAUACAAUGUAUAUUUAAUUCAUUUAAAUGUUUGUUGUGGGUUUUGGGGGAGGGGCUNNNNNNNNNNNNNNNNNNNNGGGGGGGGGGGGGGGGGAUUUGACCGUAAAAAUCCUGAUUUCCAUUGAAAGUUUGAAAACAACAACCAGCCACCAAUACAAUUAGCCCAGCUAAGAGUUUAAGAAUACACCCACAUAGAAUAUAUCGGUGGCCAAUCACAACCAAUCUUAAUAACCACGAGCCAAAUAGUGAUAGAAACAAACACAAGCAGCAAAUUUCGAUUAAUUUAAAUAUAAAUCAACUAAAACAUGAUCCAAAUUCUCAAGUAACAAAAAUUUAUACCAGCGCUGCAAGACGUGGGAGGAUCCUUCUGCAAAUCCUUGAGUUCCUUCAAAAUACGCUUCGAAGCCAUGAUGCUUCAACGGAUUAUUAAAAGUUAAAGCCACAACAAACCUAGGAUCUGCAACACUGUAAGCUAAGCCACAAACGGCUACUUAAUACAACGAUCCAAGCUUAUAAACAACAAAUUAUUUAAUUUAUUUUAAUAAGGUAAAGAAAAUAAAUUUACUUAAAAAUAAUGACGAAAUUGACCUUGUGCGGCGAAGAAGGAGAUCGGAGGGCAAUAGCAGUGAGAAAGGGGAACGGCUUCGGAGCAGAUCUGCGGCGGCUACUGGCCGUCCCGACCUCUCUCCUCUACAAUCUCUUGCCUUUGUUAUUCAAGGCAAAAGUCGUUGAGAGAGAAAAAUCCACCUUGUUUUACAUGAUUAUAUACGUGGCAAUUUUUUUUAAAAAAAAUUUCUUUUAGGUUGGUAAUUUUUGCUUAAUUAUCGCUCUUGUCCCAUUUUUUUAAAAAUAAUAUUAAUUUUAAUUCUCCUCUUUAUCUCCGAUGCCACCUACUACCACCUCUGUCGGGUUGGGUUGUGGAAAUUUAGUUUUAAUUUUAAAGGUUUUUUAACUGAAAAUUAAUCACUUUUUUUUUUUAACUGAAAAAAAAUAAUUCGAAGUUAAUAAUAAUUUAAUAUUUAAAGGUUACACUCAGAGGCCUCACUUAAUCAUUGCGAUCACGUGGAUUCACUGAGUGCUUUACGCCUCCGUCCAAAAGUGGCACUUAUUCCUCUAACUUCACGAGAGAAUCAAGUAAAUCGCUAUAAUUCAUAGAUUUUUCUUCUUUUUUUAAAAAAAAGUCCUUAUGACGUAAGAUUAUUAAAAUAGUUUUAAAACAAAGUUUUUAAAAUAUUACACAUUGAAUUUUUCUUUUUCCUGAUAAUUUAGUAGUGUCUCAAACUAUUAACUCUUAUUUACUAUGAAACGUAUUUGAAAUAUAACUUACUAAUUCCAGUAUUGACAUUGUUGUCAGAAGCUAAUUAUAAGCAAAGGAAAUAAGGGCAGAAAAAAAUGAUCAGAAAAUUAUUAUCUGUUGGUAGUCGGUGGGAGAAAAAAGUAGCCACACGAUUAAAAAUACGAAGUUUUUUUUUUUAAAAAAAAUGAAAAUAGUUAUUCAUUUAUGAGACAAAUAAUUACCGCAAGAUAACAAAGUUAAGAGUUCAACAAGAACUUCUUUUAGCCAAAUACAACAAUAUGAUUUUGGCAAUGCCAAUUUAGACAACUUGUGAGCCUCUAAAUUACAAACUACGGGGACAAUCUUAAACACAACAUUAGAAACAUUCUUAACCAAAUUUUUAAUCCCAUUGACUAGUUAUCUAAUCUCACUCUAGUUUGCGAGCUUUGCCAGUGAUCAACCUAAUCACAAUUUGUGAAUUUGGUUCAAUAAUUAACGAAUAAAGCCCCAUUAAUUUGACCAUCUUUAAACCUUCAUAAAUAACAAGCACUUCAACAAAUUCAACAAUUUCUUCUUCUAAACAUCCAUUAUUCUUUGAACUCCAAAUAAUUUAGGAUGUCACCAUAAACAAGCCAAAAUCAUCUCUAUUACCCUUUUCUAUUAUAAACCAGGCUAGUCCGUUGAAGCUUAAGUGAGGAAUUUCCCAUUAAGCACCAAUGGAAGAUAGCUUCCAUACCUUUUUAGCAAAACCACACUUCAACAGAGCAUGCAUAGUAGUCUCACAGUCAAGUUUACAUCUAGGGCACCAAGAGUUGGCUAAAAUUUUUCUCCCGUAGAGAUUUUCGUAAGUUGGUAGCAAGUUGUCGGUGGCACUCUAAAAAAUAUAUUUUAAUUUUUGUUUGACACACAGCAAGGCCACAACAACUUAAAUCCACCUUGGAACACUGUUGGAGCAACUAAGAAUCUUAAGAAAUCUCAUCAUUAAAGAUACUUGAUAAGCACUCUCUCUGAAUAAAUUCCUCUUUUAUCAUAAUGCCAGAUUAGCUUUGUCCUAUCUUCAAACACGAGGAAGAGGAAUUUCAGAAUUAACUCAGCAUCAACAGGAAGAAAUUGUUCAUCAGGCAAAAGCUUUUGCGAUACUACUAGCUUGAAAGUUGAUGACAUGAAAGAAAGUUAACGAUGAUAAAAGUAAAAGAUACAAUAUAAUGAUAAGAAAGUUAAUGAUGAUAAAAGUUAACAUGAUACAAUAUAAUGACAGUAAGAUUAUAAAUGAGAUGGAAUGGGAUCAAUCAAUUUUUUUUUUUUUGUAAUAUAGUAUAAUAUUCACGUGACAAUUUGUCAAUUAGAUUUGAGUGUGAAACUUAUGUUACCCUGUCAAACGAAUCUAUCAGCUUUGAUUAGAUGGCUUUGAUAUUAAAAACUUUUGUGUCUUAAUUGAUAUAUACAUAAUAAUGUAGGCAAAAUAAUUAAUAAUUCCCGCAUUAUAUAUUUUUAAAAUUACAUAAUAAUCUUAUUGAAGUUUACAAUUUAAUUUCUUUAGAAAAAUCUUAUAAAUUAACCAUGCAAUACCAUAAUUUCAGAUAUCUCAUAUCUAGGUUAAAUUGACCAAAUUUAUCUCCAAAUAUUUAAAAGGAAAAAAAAAAAAACCGCAAAUGCCAAGCUCGUUUAUUAACUCAAUUGAAAUAUGGUAUCAUUAUGAAUUUACGAUUGUUUCUUCAAUUAUUUAAUAUAUAUGUAUAUAUAAUAUUCUCGAAAAAUUAAUCAAAUUAAAUUAAAAAUCAUAUUAUUAUUAUAAUAAAGUUAAUCAAUAUGCAAUUGGAUAACUAGUAAUUUGCACUAUUGCACUCUCCAAUCUCCCCAUCACCCCAUGUGUAAUGGGUCUCGCCCUCUGACUCUCAGCCGAUUAAACGUUUACAAAAUCAGGAACACCUUCGGCUUCACCAAACACAAACAAAAAACUUCCGAAAUUUAUUUAUUUAUUUAUUUAAAUAAUUAUUUUCAUUUACUCUACAACGUUAGUAAAUUCCCGCACGGAAAAAAAAAGAAAAAGAAAAAAAGAGGUCAAUAACGACAAAUUUUUAAAACUGUAAUGUAAUCCCAGUUAACGAGCGUUCUCAAAAAUUUCUACUGGAUUUGUUGUAUCCGCAUAUCGUAAUCGUCUGAAUCUCAACUUUCGGAUUUGUAUGUGAAGGAUUAGGGUUUCUAUUGAUUUAUUUGCGAAUCAAAUGCUGAUAUCUUAUAUGCUUCGCUGCCAGGUGAGAGAUUGAAUUGGAUCUCUUGUCAGUAGUAGAGCGAGUGUGAAAUGGAGGAUGAGAAGAAGAAGAAGAGAAACAAGAAGAAGAAGAACAAGCAGACCAAGACGACGACGGAUGAUGUGGCCGUCGGCGAGGAUCCGAAUCACGUGACCAAUGGACAGAAAGAUGACGUUCGCAGCCAAGCUUCUGAGCCAGCUGACAUUCAAAAUGUUCAAGUGGACGCCGAUAGACACCAAUCCAAUGGUGUUGAAAGCGUAAGUUUUGCUUUUAACUGAUUUGGGAUUUACAUAAAUUUAUAUUUUCAAUAUGUGAUUAAGCUUCUAUUAUUUAUUUAUUUAUUUUUAACCGCAUCAUUACAUUUCUGAAUUGCUGCAUUUUGCAUAACAAUUACACUUCAUUAACUGAAUAUUAGAUAUAUGUUUUUGGUUUAAUAUUGACAGAUAUUUACAGUAAAAAAAAUUGAUUUUUUUUUUUUUAAUGAGUGACUGCUGAGUGCAGAGAUUUUUUUUUUUUCUUUUUUACAGGCAAACUUAGCUGAAGCUGAGAGACAGCAUUUGUUGCAAAGAGAGGCAAUGGUUGUUUUGAAUUGCUGUCUUUUCUUUCUGCUCUUUUUCUAAGUCACAUAGGUGAAGAAUUUAUAUUUUGGUUUUUGCAGGCCAUUUUGGAAGAGACAGUCAAACAUUUACGAAAUGAAAGAGAAUCUCAUAUACAGAAAGAGGUAAUGUAAAUUGAAUCCAGUUACAUAAUUAAGCAACAAUUUAAUUUUAUAUGUGGGAAUAGUAGGCCAUUCAGUUGAUAUAGAUUAGAUGCUUCUUUCUCAUCGUUCUUCAAAUUACCUGUCUUUCCUUUGAUCCUCACUGUGAACCAUUAAGUUAUUGUGUUCUGACAGGCUACCUUGGAAGGGACAGUCCAACAAUUACAGAAUGAAUGUGAUUUAUACAAAGAGAAAGUGGUAAUUUCAAGUCUAAUCUAGUUAUCUAUUUAUCUUGACAGUUAAGCUACAGAAUCCCUGUUUUUGUAUAUAUUCAUUGUGACAACACCCUUACUCUAUGUUUCUCAGCAGGCUACCUUAGAAGAGACAAUCCAGCAAUUACAGAGACAAAAUGAUUUACGCAUGCAGAAAGAGGUGAAAAAUAUAUUAUUUUCAUUGGGUUGAUUUCUGGUAUCUUCCAGUUAUUUAAAAAAUACCAGUGUGUAUUAACAAUCUUUAAUUAAGGACCUUCCUGUGCCACUUCCCUGCUGUACGGCCAAGGCGGAUGUACGGUACAGCAGCAAAUUUCUGCCCUAUCAACUUUCGAUGGUAGGAUAGAGGCCUACCCCCCCGGGCCCCCACGCAGGUGAAACACAUAACAUUUCACUGUUUCUUACAGGCUACCCUAGAAGAGACCAUCAAACAACUGCGAAAUCAAAAUGAUUUACACAUACAAAGAGAGGUAAUAUUAGCUUAAUCUAAUUGUCCGAACGGAAAGAAAAAUAUUUUGAUAAUAUUGAUCUGGAUCAUUGGACGUUCUCCAUUUAGACUUGCAAGUGGUUUGUAUUUUUCUUAUAUGUUUGCUAGCGAACUGACCUAUCUAAGUGGAAAUUUACAGGGUGGUCUAGAGAUGAAUAUUGCAAACUUACAGAGUGAAAAAGAAUUUUGGCUUCAAAAAGAGGUACUUUGUAUUGGAUGAUAGGCUAUAUUGUAUUAUGUCUUUCUCUCUUUUCUUUCUUUAAUAUUAGAGAAUUAUAUUUCAACAGCUGGCAAUUUUAUGAUUUUCCAGAAACUUAAAUAGAAUUGUAAGCUAUAUGUUGCUGCAUGCAGGCUGCCUUGGAGCAGAAAAUUAGUCAGUUACGGGAUGAAAGUGCUGCACUGAAUAUGAAAAGGGUAAAGUUCUCACUCUGAUGAAUUUUAAGCAGACCAAUUGAAAGAUCUUCUCUUUUGCUUCCCUUUAUGAAUAUAUUACUUCUUCUUUGUCAUGGUGUCUCCUUGUAUAUGAAUGUGUGCUAUUUCCUUGAAAUUCCGGUAUGCAAUAAGGCUACUUUGAUUCCACAGGCUAGCUUGGAGGAAAAACUAAAACUUUUAGAGGCAGACAAAGAUUCCUGGACGUUUGCCUGGUUGAUGGUCUUUGAUAUAGGCUUUAUUUGUAUCAUACAAAAUACAUGAAUGAUUUUGAAUUAAUUUAGCAAUUUAAUGAGAAAAACUGAUGAAUAUUUGAUUUGAAGGGAGAUUUGUCAUAGUGAUAUUGAGGGCAGCAUGUGGCUUUCGAUCGGACAGAAUGGACAAAUAGGAUUUAUUAGCCAGCCCCAGCUAGUUUGAGAUUUAGUCAAGUUGUUGACAGGAGGGCUUGGGUUUUAAUUGGAAUCUGGUCUGUUUUGAAGCUCCUGAAAAGUGGCUUUUAUUUAAUGUACUUUUUCAUCUUAUUAUUUGCAGCAACUACUGGUUUUUUCUUUCCAUCCUCAAUUUAUGUCCUGUAAAUUCUAGUUAAGGCACUUAUUUUAUACUCCUAAUUUUCAAUAUCUUUACUUUUACAGAGUGUAUCCAAAGAAACAAUUGCUGGCCUGAGUGUUGAUAUUACCCAGCUAAGGAUGCAGGUACACAGGAUACUCAAUUAGUUUAUUGUAACAUAGUUUUCCUAUCCCAGAGCAUGGUAAAUUGCUUGCUGAUCGAAAAGAACAAGGCCUUUCUUUUUCAUAUUUCUCUAUAUAUUCUGAUAUGAGAAUAAAAACAAAGUCUGGCAGGUAGUGGAGUUGGAAGAAUCUCGUAAUAAUCUCCUACAAGAAAACCGCCAACUGAAAGAAAACGUAUCCAGUCUGCGGUCACAGCUUUCAUCUGAUGAAAGCAAGAAGGUUUGUUCUUAAGACCUCCAGAACUUUGGGGAUUCUCUUCAUAAAUACGUGUUGCUUGGUUUAAUCUGGAAUGCAGUUGGUCUUUUCCCAUAUUUGUUGCAAUUUGAGAACAAAACGUUCAAGUUUAAGAUUGUGACGAAUUGUUUCUUAUGUUUGGUUAUGUAUCAAAUCUUUCAGAAGAAAAUUACUUUUGAUGGUAAAGAACUUAUUUGUUUUGAUUUAAGCAAUGAUAGGGAAUGUUGUGAUGUCCAAUGAAUAACAUCUUGCUUUCUGCAGUUACAGCAUGCUACUUCAGAACAAAAGGACUUCAGUACUCAGAUUGAAGCAGCAGGUGCACUGAUUGAUAAAUUGAUCACAGAGAACAUAGAGCUUGUGGAGAAGGUACUUGUAUGCUUUUCUCCAAAUAUAUGAUGAUAGUUUGCUAGUUCUUUUCGUUAAUGCUGAUGGUUUUUCAGAGGUCUGUUGCUCGAAUUGAUUUAUUGAGUUAUGCAUGUACAUACCCAAUUAAGUACUGUCAUAAUGAAUUGUGUGGAUCAUAGUUUAAGUUAUUUUUCUUUUCCAACUUUUUUAUCCUUUUAAUAGUAGUUAUGAUGCUCCUGAUUUAAUCUUCUCCAUGCAUAACCACACCUCCAUUCUUGGACUACAUUAUAUCUCAGGUGAAUGAUUUGUCUGUUAAGCUUGAUAGACAGAGUGUGGCAGCUGGGCUUUCUUCAGCAAUUGGAAGUGAUGCAGUGACUGCACUCACCAGUGAUACUGAACCCAUGUCUGAAUCCAGUGAUAAUAUGUCCUCAUUGAACAAUAGGUUGGAAACCCAGGGAGUGGUAGCAGUCAAAGAAGACAGAAAUGGAAUUAAUGGUGUGCAUGCAGAUCCCCCACCUUUAGUUUUAAGCUCUUCAGAAGCUGAAUACUCCGGAGAAAUUGUCCAAAUACCGUUGGAUGAUAAGGAGGUUCAGGAUUUGGAGUUGCAGGUUGUAGAAAGUUACACUGACAAAGUGGCUGCUGUGCCGCUGACAGAUGCUCCACUGAUCGGUGCUCCUUUCCGAUUAGUAUCAUUUGUUGCGAAAUAUGUUAGCGGGGCUGACUUGGUUAACAAGAAUGCUUCAAACUAAACUUAGGUUCUUAACUUCUUUUGGUUAUGACAUAUUGCUCAUUUUUGUGUACAAGAAUGAUAUACCUCAGAGUUAGAGAUUUAAAGCCGCCCACAUUGGUCCCCUAAGGGGCAGCUCAGUUUGUUGGGGGACUUGGGAUCUGGUGCUUAUACUGAGACUCUUUGUUGUCUCACGCCUCAUGGGGUCCCGAUCGGUGCAAGAGUAGUUAUCAAAAAAAAAAAAAAAAGCUGCCUACACCGGGCUAUUUACAUUAUUAUUGUUGUUAAUUUUCUUUUCUUUUCUUUUCUUUUUUUCUGGGUAUACUGGGAAAUGUAAACUACAGGAUCAUCUUUGAUGCCUGCUUUAUAUUAUUCCUACAUUAUUUUGUGAUUGCUGAAAUUUUGUGAUAAUUUAGAUGAUUAGGAUCACCAGUCCUGUGAUAAUGUCGUGUAAAGUGAAAUAGCCAUACAGGAAAUCACAUAUAAUUAUUCUGAAAUAACUUCAUUACAAUUAUCACCAAUAAUCACAAAUAACCAGAGGAAAUCAAAUGCUACUCCGGGAAUUUUGUUACACAAAUACCCUGAAAGAAUCACACAUUGACUAGUAGAAACUACUUACAUGCAGAAAAGGCUGGUGCAGUGUCCCUGUCAGAUAAAUUCAUUCUCGAACUGGAACAAAGAUAACUGUAACAUAGAACUUAAUACAUAGGAAGAGCAUGGCUUAAUAGUUAUGGGGUUUGAGUAUUUGAAUCCUUUAACUUGUCCUCUGAUGAUGGCUGGUUUUCUGAAUCAGAUGGUCGAAUGUCCUCGAUCAUCCUAACGACUUCUUCCAUUGUAGGUCUCAUGUCUGGCACUUUUGCUACACAGGACAUUGCUAUCUGAAGCAUUUGCACCAUCUCCUCUUCAAUAUUCUCAUAUCUCAUUAGUUCUACAUCAAACACCUCAGAAGUCCAUUCCUCUCGGACAACCGACUGAACCCAUCUUGGAAGGUCGACCACGUCCUCAUGCCCUGGUGCUUGGAUUGGUGCUUUGCCAGUCAGCAUUUCUAGGAGAAGAACACCAAAACUGUAGACGUCAGAUUUUUGGGUAGGCUUUUUUGUUUCAAUCACCUCAGGGGCUCGGUAGCCUGCACUUCUUGAUGGGACAGUUGGGGUAUUCAUUAGCGGAGUUAAGCCAAAAUCAGAGAUGCAUCCCUGAAGGUCUUGGCUGAGAAGCACAUUGGAGGACUUGAUGUUGCCAAGGAUGAAUUUCCCCCCAACUGCAGCAUGAAUGUGAGCAAUGCCCUUUGCACUUCCCAGGGAAAUCUUUACUCUGGAUUCCCAGUCUAGUGGCGUUCGUCCAAUUCCCCUGUUUCCUGUAGUCCAUAUAAAAAAUUAAGGAUUAGGAGCAAAGAAAAAGAAUCACAAAUCUUUACAGAACAGUGUUCUUUCAUCUCUGAUAUGAAAGCGAGGAAUUGGAAGCAAAAGAAAAGAAGAUUGGACGAUUCAUACCAUGCAACAAUGCAGAAAAGCUACCAGCCUCUAUGAAGUCAUAAACAAGGAGUUUCUCAUCCUUGGAGAAGUAAUAAGCACGAAUAGGCACAACAUUAGGAUGCUGACUGAGCCUCCCCACAACUUCCAUUUGUUGUUCAAAUUCUCUUUUCCCCAUCACUACUUCUUUUAACCUCUUCACAACCACUGUUGUUCCCUCCUCCAAUAUGGCCUUAUAAGUUGUCCCAUAGCUUCCCUUUCCUAGAACUUCUGCUGAAGCUCGUAGUAAGUCCUCGAGAUCAAAAUUAUAUGAACAGCCUUCAAAGAAAACCAACUUGUUUUUCUCAGCCUCCUGUACCCCACUCCCAAAGUCUUCUUUUGGUUUCUCAUUCCUAAUACCCUUUGAUUUUGUGGCAGCAGUACCUUCGCUGUCCUUUUUCUUCAAACAGCAAAAAGCUAUCAUGAGAAAUAGAAGGAACAGAACAGCGGAACCCCCAAUUGCAAUGGCAACUAUAGCCCCGGUACUAAGUUUUUCCUCGGAGCCCUCUCUUGGUUUUGGGAGUACUGUUGGUGGAGGGGGGAAGUUAGUUGCGGAUGGACUAGGUGCUGGGGGAACUGUAGAGCAUCGGUUUAGAGGCGGUCCACACAGCAUAGAGUUCCCUUCGAAGGAGGACGGAGGAAACUUCUGGAGGGCAAGUGGAACUGAACCAUUGAGGUGGUUGUAGCUCAAAUUUAAAUGCCUAAGCCUUGAAAGAUUAAAAUUAGGGAUAAAUCCUGUGAGGGAAUUGUUUUGGAGGUUUAAACCUACGAGAUGGCUUAAAUUUCGAAUCGAAGCUGGAAUAUUGCCUGUAAUGGAGUUGAAGGAUAGAUCAACCCAGUUAAGUUGGGGUGAGAGGGAGGAAGGGAUAUUACCCGAGAAGUUGUUGUUUUGAAGAUAUAAGAAGCGAAGGGAAGAAAGUGAGAGUACAUUAGAUGGAAGAUCCCCACUGAGAUGGUUUGAUCGAAGGCUGAGGAUCAUGAGUGAGUCCAACUUCUCAAGUGUGUUGGCUGGAAUGGGACCAUACAGCCCAACACCAGGGAGCCGGACGGCAAGCACACGAGAACCAUUCUUGGUACAAGUGAUGCCAACCCAGCUAGUGCAAACAGAGGUAGAAGAAUUCCAGUUCAGUUUGCGGGCAUGAGGAACAUUGGCAGCGAAGUCAAGGAGAGCCUGUUUGUCUGAAUUCAGGUCGGCAAUCAUUUGGGGAAUCAGCCAAAUGAAAGAUAACGCUGCAAAAACACAGCGUAACUUCAUAGUGAUGCCAACGAAACUUCUCCAGCUGAGGCUAUGAAUGUGAGUGUAGUUUCAUGAAUUCUUCAAGUUCCCCUGGCAACAUAAGGUUUUAGAACAUUAGCUUGUUCAUUUUCCUAAUCUUUAUUACAGGUAAGAACAGUAGCCAACCAUACAGGCAUUAAAGGAAAAUUUCUGCACAAGAAACUUAUAUUUUAUCAAAGGUGGUGCAAUAAAAUGAGAUAGCAGAGAGAAGGAUAAAUAAAACCUAGUUGAUGAUUAAGUAUUAUACAAUAUGUAUAUUCCAGUUAAGAUAUAUAUGAAUCACAAGAAAAAGCCUCACAUACUUUAUGAGUUUGGUUAACAGCAUUGGAUACCUUCUUAAUUAAAAACAAGAGAUUUGUCUCUAGAGAACCAAAAACAAUAUCUAAAACUAAACAAAGUUGACAUUUGCAGUGCCACAAUUUUGUCUUGGUCAACUUGCCUUGAAACUGGGAAUAUAUAGAUUAGAAACUUCAGAGCAGUUCUGAAGAAUAAGUACUUCUAUUAAUCAAUAUUACCUAAAGUAAAAGCCACUAUAGAGAAAGAUGCAAAAGAAUAAGGCUUUUCUAAAAGAAAAAAAUGCAAAAGCACUAAAGCAUACAAUACAAAAUCCUAAAAAGCAUGAUCUUUUCAGCUUUCAUCGUUAUCCUUCACCUUGUCAAAAGGAAGUAAGUUUCAUCACAGAUGCUUGAAAUGGAAUACGAGGUAAUAAACAACAUCAUUAAAACCCCAAUUUGAAAAAGUAGAUAUAUAAAAAAUACUGGAAACUUAAUGAUAAUAGCUCAUUAAUCUAUUUAUUUAUUUUUUAAAAAUAAUUACCAAACAAGAAGAAAUGUAGCGACAUUGAUCAAGCCCUAAAUGCAAAUUGAGAAUUUAUAAACUUGUGUGGUAAAUGUUGUAGAACAAGUCAAUCUCCAUCCAAAAGCACCUACAUUAAACAAACUUUUGGUGAAAAUUUAUCGCAUUUCCAUGCCCUUUUGUCAAAAUCUCUUCUUUUAAGGGAAAGACAUUCAAUUUGGCCACAAAUCGUAGAGAGAAAUAAAUUUAACUCCAUGAAAAUUCAAAAUUUUGACUAAAUUUCGUCUGAAACGGUAAGAAACUCUCCAUUAAACCUCAAUUAACCAGAACUCACCAUUUUCUCCGACUUCUUUAAGAUAAAAAGAAACCAGUACAAUUUCAAAAAGUUUUGAAAUUUUCUUCCAUUUUUUUGUCAAUUUCCCUUCAUUUUCUCAGCAACCAAACAAAGACUUCUCACAUUCCUACUUAAACAUCUAAAUUCCAACAAAUUACCCAAAAAAAGAAAAGGAAGGAAAAAAAAAACUCACAUUCCUUCCACAAUUAGCUCUUAAAUACUCUUAAAACGAACAUUACUAAACCUCCACAAAACAAAGAAAACAAAAAACAGAAUAUUAACAAAACACAACAAAAACAAAAACAAAAAUACCUUUGACUAAUGAGCAGACUCAAGUGGUGGUGGGCGGUCUGAAACGGAGGCUGAAAGACAGCAACAUAAUUUUUUUUUUCUGAUUUUUGUCUUUUAACGUUAAAUGUCAGAAGCCCAAGCUGAAGCAGAUGCGAGUCACGAUCGUGCGUGAAGAGCAGUAAAAUUGUAUGUUUUUAAUGAGUUGAACGAACCUUAACGGCAGCAUAUCUUCAAUAACACGCUCUAAAAAUGUUUUUUUUUUUUUUAAAAAAAAGAAAAGUUAAAAGUGAACAAGAAGUUGUUCGUGCAGAUUCAGUGAGAGUAGAAAGAAAAGGGUUUCUCUCUCAACGUUCAAUUCUGAUAAAUCUUUGAAAGCUUCUUCGUUAAGCCAAACGUAGUACUUGCUUAGUAACAGUCGCAGUAGCCACCACAACGCAGAUCUCGAUAUUUGUUUCAGCUACAGCUAGCUAGCUAUAGCUUCAGCUACUGUGCUUCUCAUUAUUAUUAUUAUUAUUAUUAUUAUUAUUAUUAGCUCUUAUUGCUCGUGCUAAGAAUUAGUAGAUAAUAUUAACUGGUAAUUACAUUAACACUAAUUAGAAAAUGACACAUGAAAGAUUAAGUAGACCAACUAGACACCAGUUUGCUCAGCGCUCACUCCAAGUUCAUGAUUCGUUCCCAUAAAGAGUAAAGUGAUGGUUCGACUCACAAUCACAUUUUCUACUUUUGUCCACGUUGGUAAAUACCAUAUUAUGUGAAUUUAAGCACAAAAUUAAUCAAUCAUGUAACGUAAUAUGGUCGCAUUAUUCAUUAUAACGUGAACAUUAAACACCAAAAUUCUGUCUGUUAUUACUUGAAUUCAGGUAAUUGCAGCCUGCAGGCACAAAAGAUAUUCACGGAUGGGUUAUGACCAGGACCCCGUUUGAAGUUUAUUUUUUUAAAAUUUGACUUAAAAGGUUGACAAAGUGACUAAUUGUUAUUUUGCUGGGUUUUUUUUUUUUUUUUGGGUAUCUUACAAAAUAAUUAGAGGACCCACAAUUGGAAAACUCUAGGACAAAAAAGAUAUGGAAUAAAAUGAAAAUGAUAAUUGGAGUUGGAGACACAUCACGGUUUCUCAGAUGACUCUCUGUUUGGGUUUGGUGGGUGGUUUUUGGAAGGAUGUAGCCCUGUCUUUGUUAUAGAUUUCGCAAAAUCCAGUAAGUGGGUCACUUUAACAUUUCAUCGUUUUUAGUUUCUAUUUAGACUUUCAUGAGUGACAUUGUAACACCACAUGAAAAUUUUGUAUAAAUAUGUUAAAUAUUUUUUGGGUGAAUAGGGGUGAUUAAUUGGCUUUGGAUGCUGUGGAGCGGAAGGACAAAAUGCAAAGCGAUGCCCAUAAGUGAAUACUGGCCUAAUAUGAGCAGGUAAUAAAUAUUGUUGUUUGUUUGUCAAAACUACACUAAAUAAAUUAUGACUUAUGGUAAAUCAACAUCACAAUAAGCCACUCGGCCUUAGGUCGAGUGGUCAGGGUUGCUGCCCUCUAACUUGGAGGGCAGCAGUUCGAAUCUCCACAAAUAUAUUGUGGGAGUAUUUCUUUCAUUAAUUAAAUUUGAGUAAAGGCAGUCUUUUUUUUUUAUCCAAGUGUGAGGAGUAGACAUCCCUCGAAUAUUUAUGAGACUUAAAAUUUAGACAGCGCUCCAUAAAAAGCUCAAAUUUGGAUUUGAAAAAAAAAAGUUAUUGUCGUAGAAAGAAAAUAUUUGUGAAUUGGAAAACAGAAAUUAUUGUCUAAUUGAAAGUAAAUAUGUAAGUGUCUUAGAGAAUCUUUAAAAAUUGAAGCACGCAUGAUUGUGAAGGUUAUUGGUGUUGAAGUUAUAUGAAAAUGAUAAAGGAUUUGACUUCAAGGUUUAGAAAUCGAUGUCAUGAUUGUCGUUAUUAUCAUUGUUAUAUAUUAAAAAAAAAUCAAAGAAUCAUUAAUAGAAAAUUGAUUAGGAUUAGUUGUCGGAUCGCGAUGCUUCCACGUUUGUGUAAAAACACUCUAUUUUCUAAAAAUUUAUUGUACUAUAAUUUUAUUUUUUGAGUGGUUUUACUUAUAUCUUCCACUUUUGGCUGACGGAAUUUCCCAAAUUCCCGAUUGAGAUUUGCGAUUCUGGUGCGUUUCGAACGAGAUCUAAUAUAAAAAUUUGUCUCGAUUUACUAUUUUGGUCGGGAUUCAAACUCAAAUUUGUCCUAAUUCACUAUUUAAUAUGAGAUUUGAGACGUUUGAAAAUUUUGAUGAGGAUCUUUAAUGUCCUAAAAUUUAGAUUUUCAUAAGUAUAUGACCAGUUGAUUUGAUGAAUCACGUAGAUUUGACAUAUAGGUAGCAAGAACGGCUUUAAAUAUAGGUGAAUUAAAUAGUUGGCUAAGACUCCAAAUGUUAAGAAGGCCCAGUAUAAUCCCUUAGGCCCCAUAUAUUAGGAAGUAUUUUCUUAAUAUACUCAUAAUAAUAGAUUCUUUUAGGUUAUUUAUAAUAAGAAAAUCUAUUUUUUAAGUCUAUCUUUAAUUAAUAAUUAUCAUACAAUUAAAAAUGGAUUGAAUUUUCAGCUCUUUAAGUUCCUUUUGAGUAUUGAAGAUAUUGAAUAAAAUGAGGUUUCAACAAAGGCCCCCAAUUCUCUAAAGCGGACCCUAGUCAAAUGUAUGCGAUAAGUCAUUUUCAUGAAUAAAAUACAUAUGACAUGACAAUCAUACGUGUACAACGUUUAUGUAGGAUAAUUCAUGAUACCGAUCAAAAUUUAAAAAUUUAUUUGGGCUGAAAUCGGGACACAUUUUUUGUUCCGAGUUAAUGUUUGGGACAGAAUUCAUGAUAUAAUUUUUAUCUCGAUUAUCAAUCGGAACAGAAUCAAGAUUGACAAAUCCCCACUCUCCCGAUCCUAUUGCCGACCCUGUCCCCACCCUUCUUUAUUUCGUUUUCAAGCUCUCUACUUUGGCCAUGCGGCCAUACCUGCCCCAACUCGGAUAUGGAAUUGAAUUUGAUUUUCUUAAGAAGACAUAAAAUCUUCUUUGUGUAGUUUGUGUUGUCAUGUUUGUCACAUCUUGAUAAAAUAAGAGAUAACAUUUGUGGAACAAUGACCAACAAUCAAAGAGCGUCUUAUUUCUUAUUCCCCUCGAAAAUCAACAUCCACUAAUUGGAACUUUUGGGAGAAUUCAUCUCUUCAUAAGUUAUUACAACUUCUUCACUUAAAACUAUUGAAUCCGCAAAUCCAAAUUUAGCUGUUACGAUGAAGCUGUAAAUCCUUUUAGUUCUGUUUUGGAGUCUAUUUUUUUUUUUUUUUUUUUUUCUUUUAUAUAAUCCCCAGUCUCUUCAUAAGUUAUUACAACUUCUUCACUUAAAACUAUUGAAUCCGCAAAUCCAAAUUUAGCUGUUACGAUGAAGCUGUAAAUCCUUUUAGUUCUGGUUUUGGAGUCUUUUUUUUUUUUUUUUUUUUUUUGCUUUUAUAUAAUCCCCAGAGUAUUGUAUCAUCAACAUAGUUAACAACUUAACCAAAAAUGAAUGAUAAUUUCAUUCCAGAGAUUUUUAAAAAUAGGGUUUUGCUUUCUCUUCUAAUUGCAAAGCAAUUUUAUGUAGAAAGAAGUGAAACAAGUUGUUGUUUGCUUUAGGGAUAAUUUCGGAAUUCAGUAUUGUGCAUUCAAAAAAAAAAAAAAAAACUCAAUUUUAAAUACUUUAAUGGGGUCUAAAUUGAUUUGAUGAUUUGAAUUUUGAAGGAAAGUGUCACAAAUUAUACAUUGGUAAGAUAGAUGGUGAUGUUCGAACGAAGUUGUUGGAACUGCCCUGUUAUUAUAAUACAAGUUUCACGUGGAUUAGUAAAUCCACUCCAAUUUCACGCCACAUAUUUAAUAGUAGGUCCAUUUGCUUUUUUGAUACACAAAGAUACUUUUUUUCUUAACAAAUAAUUAAAUCCAAACAUAAUGUCUAUGCACAGCUAUUUGAUGAAUAAUUGGACUAGAUUAUUGAGUUAUUGAAAAGAAUCAUUUAACGUUUAAAUCUUGACAACCCAAAAAUCAAACGUUAGUUGAAUAUGAUAUGACUUUGAAACAUAAAGUAGGUUUUGACGAUGCAAUCUUUUCAAUUUAUGUUGUGCCACGUACAAUACAAAUUUUUUUCUUAUGAGAAUAAUUUUUUCUUAUUUUCAUUUUUAAUUAUCUUGGGCAGAUAUGUUAGAUUAGAAUCUCGCUACCGAGCUUCUUUAAAGCUAAGGUGAAUAAUCUAAUGAUAAACUCGAUGGAAUCUUGAGUUCAUAUUAAGAAAAUAAAUAAAUAAACAAACAAAUUAAAAAAAAAAAUGCCAUGCUCAUGCAUGAGAAGUUGAUGAAGUGGGCUUUCGAUGGACUGAUCUUCCUGGCCUUUCUUCAUUUUAACACAAUAGAAGGCCUUCCAAUGGGCUCAUAAGCCUAAACUUAGGUUAAAUGAACUAAUGAAGUGCAGAGCAUUUCUAUUUGUACGUUCCAUAUAUUUGAAGCAGAUUAGCUUUUCUUUGCUCAGAUAUUUAUUCGAGCAAUAACAUGAUGGUAAAUCGGCGGUGACAGAUUUCUAAUCCCAAAUAAUGCAAGUCAUCCAUGGAGAUGAGCAAGUUUUUUUUUGUAAUGGUUACUAGCAGUAGGCUUUGUCUCUCUGUUAUUUUUAUUCUAUUAUUUUUAGGAGCCAAUGUCUAAUUACUCUAAUCCAGUUGGGAUGACAAGCAUUAGCAAGAGCCAUAAAAUGGUAUGUACUUCUUCAGUUCGAUGAAGGGAAAUUAAAAGAUCAUUUGAUCGCCACAGCCAGACAUGUAAAUUUAAAUAUACAAUCAAAUGAUUGAAGACCAAUAACAUAGCCAUUAAUUUUGCAGCAGACACAGCCUCUUCACUCACGGUUUUGGUGAUAGACGUUGACACACUCCACUCUUGCGAAGUGACAAAAUAGCUGUAAGAGCAUAAGGUAUAAUUUAGAUGUUUAAAAAAAUAUAUAUAUCAAAGAAAAACAAAUCACCCACUUCUCAAUUGCUAUAAUAAGCCGAAGGGUUCAGGUAGAGGCUCAAAUCCGGUAUCAAAAAUGGCUCCUUGAUCAGAUUUAUCGUCGAAACUGUGCAGCCAGUUUGUGUUCUUCAAGUCCUCUUUAAGUAAGAUUGCAUCAUAACGGGAGCUCUCGUAGAUGUCGGCUUCACUCAACUUAGCAGAGUAUCGUCCAUCAUGAGCAUCAUUUCCAUUUUCUGCAGGCCCACUAUAGGUGUUUCCUUUUUCCGAAAUGUCUCUGUUUUUUAAGAUUCCAUUGGUAUGUACAGAUUCUAAAGCCCGUGCAGAACGGGUUUUAGAGGUCGCAGACCGUAUGCUUUGAGGGAAGAGGGUGGUACCUGAAAGCUGACGAAUGCUCCCUGCACCAUUUCUUAUGUCCUACAUUCAAAGAUAAAUAAAUGGUUAUGAUUUAUCCUACACAAAGAAUCUUGUGUCCAAGGACACAGACAUUCUCUCAUAACGGAACCCUAAGAUGAAGAAGUCUCUUACUCUGCCAAAGCAGCAAAAACUAAGAUUAGCUGAUGCUGUAACUGGCAGAAUUUCAUACUAUGACCUAACAAAUUAAUAUGCCGUGGAUGAUACGGGAGGAAAAUACAUACCAUAUGCCUGAUAGCCAUGUCCAGUGAUUUUUUUGAGAUAGUCCUCCCAAAUCCAGUGCCAUCUGAGGCUGUAUUUGUGGAUUUCACAGGUCUCCGGGUUGACUGCUCUGAAAUGUGCGAGGUCCUUCGAUACUCAUGCGCAUCAGCGGUGUGCCCGUUGGCGGGUGUUCGACUCCUUCCAGGGGGCUCUGUGAGUCUUCCCCUUGUGACUACAGGUGAUGAAUGUCUUCUUGGCAUAUUCACCGAUCCUGUAGCUUCGGGGUUACUCUUCAUAGUGAGAGCAGCACCUGGGCGGGACCUACCAGCAGACAACGGCCGGUCUGGCAAAGUUGUUCUAAGGUUUGGUGGGGUGUCAAGAGGAAAAUCAGGAGGUACAAUUGGCUGCUGUGACCGGACUCGUGGGCUGGGGGAACUUGGUCGUGAUGCUGGUCCCUGACUGCGACCAUUUGACAUAACACGUCCAGCUGAAGUUGAAGAACUCAUUGCUGGAGAUGUAGAAGUUAUUGGAUUGCGACGAGUGGGAGUUGAUGGACGAGAACUUGAUCGAGCAGUUGAGGAAUUCAAGUUAGCAGGAAUUUGUGGCCUAGAACUUGGAGUGGAUGGCCUUGAGGUUUGGGAUGUUCGAGUCUUGUCCAUGGAAGAGCUGGUGAGAGAUGGACGAGUUCUUGAAGGAGUUGAGGAUCUCGAUGAUGUAGGGCGGGCAGAUGGAGUUGAUGGUCUAGCUGACGAUACAGAACGUGCACUUGGGGAGGCCGGUCUAGUAUAAGAUGAGACUGAAGCUGAGCUUGUAUUGAGGAUCGAAGUGGAUCUGUUAGAAGAAUAGGUACUAUAUUGCGAAGCAGAGAUAGAAGAGCGAGUCACUGAACUGCUUCUUGCCGGUCUUAAGGGAUGGACAGAAUGGUUACUUUCUGAUUGUGAGACUGAAAGCUGAAACAAAGUCAGAGAAUUUAGUCACUCACGCACACGAGCUUGAAAAUUGAUUCUAUGGUACAUACAAAUUAUCCCCCUCAUUAAUUCUUAAUUAAUUAUUUCCGGUUUUAGAAUCCUAGGCAGCAACAAGGAAUAUUCAAUACUCAUCCUACGUCCAUGACCCUUCCGCUCCACCCAAACAAGAGAAGGGGGAGGGGUGGGGAGUUAAGNNNNNNNNNNNNNNNNNNNNNNNNNNNNNNNNNNNNNNNNNNNNNNNNNNCCCCCCAACAAAGAAAAAACAUACCCUCGAAGCCUUUGAGGUAGAAACUGAUCUGGCCAAGGAACUGAUUCUUGGAGCAACUGGAUUCAGCUGAGAUUCACUUCCGUCAGAUGAAGGAAAGAGAGGAGUGCCGGGAGGAGUGAGAAGCCUAAUAUCAUAAAAUAAAUGUAAAAGAGACAUUAAUCCAACAACAUCUAAGAUUAAAAUAAUAUGCUAACUUAAAAGCUCAAGUUCCAAAUACUGAAUUCAUUACUUUGUAAACAUAUUAUUUAACUCAAUCCAUACUUAGCUCAGAGCAAAUAAACAAAUUUAGUAGUGAACAAUGUGACAGGCAAGGGGAAAUUAAAAUGAGAAAAUCAGGAUGAAAAAGGAACUGAUAAUUGAAACUAGGAAUGAAGCAGAUCUGAAAUUAAAUAAUUAACGAAGAAAAGAGAGUCACGAGAAACAUACCAGUCAUAGUCGUGCUUUCCUCCGUCAGUGGAAGACAACAGAUCAUCCACCCCACUCUUUGCCAGUUUCGCUGAUCCAACUGACAGCCUCCCCAGCUUCACCGAAACUGUUCGUUUCGCGAAAUAUCGCAUAAGUAAAACGACGCCGAUUCUUUCUUCCAUUUUCUUUUUUCUUUUUAUUAGAAGAAUAAAAUUAAAAAAGAAUAAAAUUCAAUUCAAUUAAUUACCAUCAGAGGAGUCAUCGGAAGAGGCGACAGAGAGAGAGCGGCGAGACUUGGAGAACAAGUCGAGGUGGUUCUCGUCGGAAGUAUCCUUCGUCGAGCCGGUCAAACUUUGACCGCGGCGGUGCUGGUGAUGCAGGUGCAUUCCCACCGGAAUAUUCCUCCCGCCGACCAACGACUCCCUGAGGUGGUUAUUACUAUAUCUAUUCAUGAUUAAUCACUUAUUUACUAAAUCUGCCUCACCAUUUCUCUACUUGAAAAAUGCGCUUUACUGGUUUGUUUCUUUCUUUCUUCUUCUCUCUCGGAUGUUAGAGAUCUAACGCUCCCGCGACUGCAGCAUGUGCAAACCUCGCUCUCUUUUUUCUCUUUUAUUUUUUGUCAUUUUCGUCACAUCAUAUGAAAUGGAGGAGGGGACACAGAGAGAGGGAGACUCGGUUAUUAGUUAUUACGUAUGGAGUAUAUCAUGGAGGUCCCUAAUUUGCAGCUAAAUCACAAGUAGAGGGCAUCAAUUACAUUGUUUUCCUGAAUGGUCGCCAUCGCAGAUUCCCAUCGUAAUCCAUUAGUAAAUAGUCUAUUUGGAAAUGUCAACCGCUGAUUGGCCUAGAUGAGAUUAAAAAAAUUUGAGUAUUUUUUUAUGUGUGGUCAAAGUAAAUUUUUAAUCCGUUAGUAUUUGAUAUUUUUUUCAAUCCGUUUUUGAGCUACGUCAAAGUAAACUUUCGUUAUAUUUUAAUAUACAACAAUGUGAUAUUAAAAAUAAAUAAAUAAAUAAAUAAUUGACGUGUUUUUAUCAAAAUUUAAAAAUAAAUAAUUAAAGUAUUGAGUAAACAUUCGCUUUCACUUAAAAACUCAUAAUCGAAUAAUAAAUAUUUUUUUUAUUAUACUCGUAUGAAAAUGGAUUUAAGUUUCUUGUACUAAUAUGCGAGUUAAUUGCUAUAGACUUGCAGCACUUCAGUUCAAAACAUAAUAGAGAUCAAUUAUUUGGAAUCCACGUAUUUAUAAAUUUUGAAACAAACAAAUCAAGAGGUAGGUUGACUUCGAGUUCGAGAGUAUGAUAAUCAAUUAUCAUCCAUUUUAGUAGGACUUGUGUUAUGAAAAUUAUAAAUUAUAACCUUAAUUAUAGUUUUAUCAAAAACAGGGAUCCGGCUGUCAUUACUCCCGUUAUGGCAUGGGCAGAUCUAAGCUUCAGCGUUUUGAUGUAAUCAAAUUAAUAAAUUAACGUUAAGAUCUGCGCUUAGGUGUCUGUUUUUUUUUUUUUUCGAUAGAAGGUGUCUGGUUAUUUGUUAUGGAACAUAACAAACCACAAAUGUAGGGUCUACGGACCUCACAUGGACUACCCAUUUUUCAUCUUUUAAUCAGUGCCACGUAUCUCAUCUUUACGUGAUUAUUAUUAACAAUAAUUAGAAGCAACCGAAGCUGAGAUUUUUAUCCAAAAUUUAUGUGAAUUAUGAUUGAAUUUUGGGUUUUUGGUCCCACAGGUGAAGACAUUUUUUUUUUUUAAUUAAGUUACUUAAAUAGCAUAAAAAUUAGCUAAAAUAGAAAAGAAAAUUGAUGCGUCAACUCUCACCCAUAAAAAAGAUAAUUAGUCGUGUUGUGAUUCCCCCAACCACUCUUUAAGAAAGUUAUAAGUUAGUUGUUAAAUUUUGCCAAUUAUAUGAUUCUUUUUAUAUCAAACGUUCUGUAAGUUUUAUAUUCAAUUUUAUAGUGGAAGAAUGGAAAGAAUCACACAUUUUCUUCAUAUUAAACAUUUGAAGUAAUUUUUUCUCUUUUAAAUUUAUGAGCUUGAAGAUCCAUGGUUAUUGAAAAUGUAGUAGGUAAAACUACCCAUAAAGUUGAAAAGCUCAUAUUGUUUUAUUUCUCCAAGCGGCAUUUUUAUGGUGCGUUUUAAGAGACAUGGCAACUACCAACAGUAUAUUUUAUCCAUAAUUAAUCACUAUUAUUGAUUAAUCUCUAUCAACAGAAACUUUCUACUGCAACGACGACUAAUUAAUAAUACUUGGAGGAAAUUGAUAAGUAGGGAUUAUUGUAUUUUUCAAAAAUUGAUCAAAGCAUAUGUGGCAUAAUUUGAAAUGAUAUAUUAUAGUACGUGACAGUGGCACAAACUAUAUCAUUUAAUUUUGACCAAAAAAAAAAAAGAAGUGGGGCCACGGAAGCAAAGCCCUUCCAAUAGAAAGAAGAAAUGAAGAUACGAGUCAUGUGACUAAGUCAUCGCAUUAUAUACGUACAAGAUGAUGUUAUGGACCAUUUGGGACAACGAUGUGUGAGAAAUGGUAUGGGCCAACGUACUGCCACUAAGAGCCCAAAAUCACAAGAUUCGGCAUUAAGCCAUGUGAGGGAUGAUGGUUUGUUUGCGGGAACACAACUCAUUUUCAUUUGAAUCCGACAACGCCACACCCCAUGAAUUGGAUCGUGAUUAUGAUUUAUGAUCGGCUGAUGUUAUUGACUGAUAUUUUUGCAAUUUCCCCACUUUAUUAUAACAAGCUGCUUUACUUAGGUUAGUUACAUGCAAACUUGUAGUAAUGUUAUUUUUUAUCAAGAUAUUGACAACGGUAUUAAAAACUCAAAAGAACAUAUAUCGGGAGAGAUUUAUCAAAACACUAAUACAAAUGUUAAUAAUCCACACAUGUACGUCAUAGAUAGAGAAAGAAAUUAUCGAAUUAGUUUUCUUUUUCUUUGUUAUUAUUAAUAUUUAUCAAGAAUAAAAAAUAUGCAAGUGUUCUCAACAUUUUUCGAGGGACAAACUUACUACUUGGCAGUAAUCUUAAUAAAAACAGACACAAUCUAUUUAAGUAUAGAACUUUAAAUUAUAUUAUAGAUCGACUCAACUUAUAAAUUGGGUUCUCAUAGAUACAUACUUGAUUUACGAUAUAAGGAUACAAUGUCAGUAAUAAAGAAAAUUUUUAUCAAGGCUGUAUUGAUUUAGUCUUUUAGUUUCUUGAUGAAUGGAAUAAAACCAAAUUUCCCAAUGAGAUAUAAUUGUCCACCAACUAGUACACGCAUUACGCCCCACGCCUCAAUAAUUGAUCUAUUGACGGUUGAGCUUGGGUUUUUCAUAAAAUCUAAAAUCUUUGCAAAUUGGGGCCAUGUAUCGAAAUUUAACCACCAAGAUAUUGCUUAGAAGCAAAGAUAUAGAAAUAAUAAUAAUAUAUAUCUUAUAGUAAAAAGAAUAAAAGGUGGAGCGACCCAUUAUUGAUGGAAAGUGGAAACAUGAGAUGCCACGAGAAAGCAAGCAGUCUCGAAGAUUGAUGACAAAAGGCCAUCGCACUCACCAUCAUAUUUGCUUCUCCCUUCACGUGCUUUCUCUGACACUUCCAAUUUCCAAAUAAACAAGUGUUAUUUAAGGUAACGAGACCCUUAAUCAAUACCUUAAAAUCUUAUGCCCCGAUUAAGGUUAACUUGAGCAGUAGACCCAGCAUAAAUACAUAAAAGGACCCUCUAUUAGAAACAUGUGGGGCGUUAAAAUUUAAGUCAUUACUAUUUGAGACUUGAGAAGAUCGGGCGCCGAGUUGGGAGUUUACAAGAAGCGUUCAACGUUUGCGGCCCAUGGGCUUUAUUUUCUGUAUAACGGCCUUUGAGCCCAAGUACGAUCAAUGUUGAAUAGUUUAAGAGUGGCGCUCUUGGCACGCCGUUGUUAAACCGAUAAAACCAUUUUACUAAGAGAACCCGAUUCGAAAUAUUUAAUGGUUAUAUUAUGUCUAAGAAAAGUAGAAAACCCACUGUAGUUCCAUUAAUAGCCUUUGUUUCAACUUUCUUUUUUCGUCUGUUCCCUUUCAAGAAACCCCAUUAGCGGAAUUGAGAACAAAUAGUUCACAGUUAAAUCUUCUUAUCUUAAUUUAUUCUAACUUUGUUUCUUCAAAAAAAAAAAAACUUGAUUUCUUCUUAAUAUGGUUAUAUCUUUUUGAAAGUGGAAAUAAAAUCCAAUCCUAUAUUUACUUAUAGAUAAAAUCAUGUUCAAAUAAUUUUUUUUAACCCAAUCUCACCAAAUUCAUAUUUUGAGUUAGGGUGAAAUUAUUUGAACCCACUAAAUUAUUCACUAAACUCAUUUACUAAAUAAACCCAACCUCAAAUUUUUAAAUUUUAAAUUUUACUCAAUAAACCCACUUAAAUACCUAAUAUAUCCUUACUAAACCCAAUUUUUAUAAUAAUAGUGAUUUUACUCAUUAAACCCAUAUGAUAAAUGUUUCAUUGAAACUAUUUUUUUUUUUUUUGAAGAAAGUUUUUUCGGAAGCAAAUGCAAAGAAUAUGAUUUCAUAGUGCACCUAUUGGUGGUUUUCAACAAUAUAAUUUCCAUUUACCGAUUCAAAAGUUUUGAAAUGAUGAAAGCUCAACCAACAAGGCAUAAGGAGUCAAAAUGGAUGCUUCUCCAUUGUUCAGGCUUGCUAUCAUCAAGUUAUGUCAGCAGGCUUGAUUUCUUAGUUGAAGUUACAAUGAUUACUCAUAAAUUUAAAUUUUAAUUGACAAAUGAUUGCUCAUAAAAUUUUCAUGUGAUAGAGCAAUACCAUGAGAAAGAAACAUUUAGAGAGAGGACAAAUAUCUUCUCAAAAAAAAAAAAAAAGAGAACAAUUAUAAAAAUAUUUUAAAAAUAUAUGGCUUGACAGCAGAAUCACACCUCUUGAUUGAUUAGGGUUUAAUUAAAAGAUAAUUAGGGUUUAAUAAAAUUGUGUUGAAUAUGAAGAUGAGUUGAAAAAGUAAAAAUUUUAUUAUUUUUUUCUUUUUUAUUAUAUUUUAAUAUCCAUAACUGUAAUUUAAUUUAGUGGUGUUUGAACCAUAAAAAAAUAUUUUCAAAAGUGGAUUUAAUGAGUAGUUUGGUGGGUUCAAAUAGCCCCACCCUUUGAGUUAUUGCAUAUUUUCAUAAAAAAUUAUAAAUAUUUUAAUUUAAUUUCAAUUUUUUCAAUAGUGCAAUGCCUUUCAAAAUUCAUAGAUUUGGUAACCUUAAUCGAACUAUGAGUGAUGGAUAAAAAAUUGGAACUAAGGGGCUGUUUUUUUUUUUUUUUUUUACUAAUGACUUAAUUGACUUAAUUUUAAUCAGUUAGUCAUUAUCUAUUUGUUUUUUUAACUUAAUGACUUAAUUGAGUUUAAUAAUGUGAUGCAAUUAGUUGUUUUCCUCUCUCAUUUAUCACUGUGCGCCGUGCACGGUAACAAAAGGUUAUUAUUGUAAAUCCAAAUACAAAGGGUUUCACUAGAAUAUUUAAGGGACGCCAACAAUCCAGCUCAGUCGAAUCGAUGCCGAAAUUCUUGAACGAUUAAACACGAACCGAAGAAAGUCGACUUCAUCAGAGUAAAAAAUAGCUGCUUGAUUGAGUUGUUGCAGUUGACCCCGAUUCAUCUCGUUCACAAUGAAUGCUUGCUAUUAAUUAUAUUGACUUUCGGUUUAUUAUAAACGAAAAUUCAAAGGCUAAACAAAUUGACUCCGCAUGUGUGUUCACAAAAGCUGCAUCCGACUGCAAGGCGUCGAACACAAACAAUUAGAUUGAAAAAAACACAAUCCCACAUGCUUAAAUGCUCUCCACACGCUUAAAUGCUUUCCACACUUUGCACAAAGGCUUCAACUUGAACAUGUGCCGCCCAAUCCAUAACCAUAAGAUUUGGGUUAAUAAGUCUCGAGUUGACAGCAAAACAAUGAUUCAUAAUGCAAUGUAAUGUGGUGGGUAGCCGACUGCCGACGAUUAAUGGCAGAUGUAUGUGGCAAGUCAUCUCAAUUAACUGUAAUCGUUUGAGGCCCUAUCACAACAUUUUAUAUGUUGCCAUGUGGAUUAUUCAUUUUCCCCCCCAAUUGCAUUAAUUUCUCUAAAUUCUCUUCCGAUAAUCACCAUCUUCCGUCCCCCACCAGUUUUGCUUUAUAGAGUCUCCAUUUUAUUCGGUUGACUUUAGACCUCGGCAUGCUUUGAUGUUAAAGAACUCUUCCUUCAUCUAUUGCGUGUGAUCCACAAGUGACAAUGUCUGUGAAUUUUCCUUUCUCCUGUUAUAUUGAUUCUACCUCACCAACCAACUUCCACGAAUUCAUCUCACCAUUCUAUUGGUGGUUUAAUUGAAAAGCAAUAGCCGACUCCAUUGAUCGGAUAUCUUCUUUUGGGGGUGUGUGUGUGUACAUAUUUGACAAUAUAAUGUUAUGUUGUGGUUAUGGAUUAUUAUUAUUAUUUACUGCUGUACGGCCAAGGCGGAUGUACGGUACAGCAGGCAAUAACUUGAAAAGAAAGGCAAGCAACAUCCACUUUCGCCAAAGUUAUGAUAGAAAAAGAAAAUUUACAAGUCUCACACUAUCAACUCAAAAGUCUCCGUAAUCUUACACAUAUAUAUUAAAAAAAACAACCAUCUAAGGUUUAUGGGUGAGUGUUUUAGCUUUUGGGCAAUAAUAGAUAGAUUCCCAUCUCCCCACAUACAUAUAUCUUCAAAUUUCAAUUCUUCCAUAUUUAUGUGCUAAUUGGACUUUGCAUCCAACUAAUAAAGACUUUAUGUGAAAUACAAAUUUGACAUAACAUUGUCUAACUACAAUGUAACAUAGUCUAAUCUCAAAUUUAUACUUUGAAUAUAGACACAUAUAACAAUAAUUUUUUUUUUCAAUUAAUGAUAAUGAUCCAGAAUAUUUGAUAUUUAUUAAGAUGAUUAAACCCUUGUUAAGAAAGAAUUAAGGCUAUCAAGAGGGAAUAUGUAGGCGGUGGUGGUACAUAUGCAAGUGAGGGCUAUAUAUAAAUCUACAUAUGAAGCAUUAUGAACACUAUUAUCUCCUACCUAAACACUACAUAUGGUUGCCUUUAAUUUCUUUAAUAUUAUGCUUAUGUUAUACACAUUUAUUUUGACGUGGCAUCCUAUAAUAAAUAGUACUCGAUGACGGCAAAGACUUAACUGAACAAUGCAAAUAGUUGCUUUAAUUUCCACUUUUGCGGAAGUUGAUGCCCUCUGACUCCGUCUCCAUUAGUUACACCCACAAAACCCUAGCGGUUGAUUUUAAAUUUUAAUCCCAACUUGUUUAGUGGGCCACUGGGAUCUGCCGCCUAUGUGUUCUUCCCCCACCUCGGCCAUUGCAAUCCAAUCACAUUUCAUCAAUUUGAUGUCUUUUUUGCUUUCUGACGGGCCCCGCCACCUCAAUCGACUCACUCUUCCCAGGCACAUAUAAUGAAGAACAUUGUUGUAGCUAGCUACAAUUAAUUGUUGAGGUUUGUAUUUCCUUUUUCUCUCUUUAGGUUUUAAUCUGCUACUACUUGUGUUCAUCAUCCAAACUUUGUUCGAGCAUCUUUGCCAUUUUCCAGACUAGCUACCACGUACAUAUGUAUUAGUUCUUGCAACAUUUACCUAAUUUGAUUAUAUAGGUCACUUUUCUUCGUUCUUUCUUCUCUUUUAUUUUCAUUUAUCCAUUUUUUUUCUAUUCUAGGUUAAUCCAAGAAAGCCACACUUUGGCUCACGAAUAUACUUACAGUAAUCUUCAAUUAAUGAGCUAAAUUUUGAGUAUAUAUAAAUCAAAACCCAUCAAUCUUUAUAUGACAUAAAAUCAAAACCAAGCUAGUGUAGUUAGAAACUAUUUUCUAUCUGGAGUCUAAGUAUGCUGCAUGCACUUAAUAAUUAUUUUGGAAAAAGCAGAAGAGGAACAAAGACAAUCUCACAUGCAAUUGCUGUCUUAGUGCGCAUUACGUACGAAAGGUUGUUACCCCACAGUAAAAAAGUCUCUUCUCUUUUGCAUGCAUGGAGCUUAAUAAUUGGUUCAAAUUGUCAAAUAUAUACCUUUCCUUUCCUUUUUUUAAUUUAUAAUUACACGAUACGUUCUCUUGUUCAAUUUCUUCCAAAUAUCAGUGCUCAAUUAAUAAUAAUAUAUCCUCUGAGGUUCUAUUUUCUUUAAGAGAGUGUUUUUUUUAGGCUGUGGGGGAAUAACUUCCUCACUCGAACAUAUAUAAUUAAUUAAUAUCUUCUUUGCUUUGGUGAUCACUAAUUAGCAUUUGUUAUCCUCUUCCGCCAUUACAUAAAGACACAUCAAAAUCCGAUAUAUUAAUUGUAAAUAUUGUUCUUAAAUUUUGUUUUUGAUAAGUGAGUCAUAUAAUAACAUAUAUACCGGGUUAGUAGAACUUUGGAAAAGGAGGUAAGGAGACUAAGGUGGAAAAAAAAAUCAACCAUUCUUGAAAGCCGGCCAAUUGCCAAAAUUGAUUUGCCAAUUAUAUUUUAAUUUUCGGUUAAAUGGUAAAACUUCUUCAUUAUUUUACACGUCUUGGCUUAUCUAUCCCAUCAUUACUAGUUCAUUCAGUGUAGCUCAAUCAUUCAACUGAAGAGACACGACGCAUUUAAUCAUCAAAAAGUCACGUGGCAGACAACGAAGCUACAAAUCAAAGAUGAAACUAAUUCUCUCAUCACUUUCUUAGCUAAAGAUUCCCUCUAGAAGGAAACCACCAACAAAAUCACACGCAAUAUUGCCCCCCAACUUACGCAAUAAGAUUUCUUGUCGCCCUCCUCACCAAUUCCAAUUGCGCACGACUCACGUCGUCUCACGACUCGGUCGUGUGGUUUGUUCAUCUUACAUUUAGAACCAGUCCAAAUUCUUCCCUACAACAUAUUUAAUAUAAUAUAAUAUAAUAUAAAAGACACCUUCCAUGCAUCUUCUCUGAUAGCCCCAUCAUUGCCCUUUAAAUCUCCCUGCGGCUAAAUGCGCCGUAAAUUUUCAGCUUAAAAUUCACGAAAUCUUUGUCAAAUCUGUCAUUUUCGAAAGUGUUUGUUAAGAUUAUUAUUCCACAUGCAUGAUGACAAAUUGCUAGACUAGACUUUGAUUUUAAAUAAAUUUUCAUUUGGCAAAAAAAAAAAAAAAAAAAUUUCAACAAGUCUUUCCCUGGUCAUUAUCAUGUCUUAUCCAUUAAUCUUUAUUGCUUGAUUUCUUUUCUAGGAAACCGAGGGAAAAAAAAGAAAAAGAAAUAAGCACAUACGGUAUAAAAGGCAAUGAUGCAGCCUAUAAAGGAGGUAUUAUUGUUCUUAUUGCUUGCAAUAUUUUCCAAGGCAACCGGCACGAAGGACUAUCCUAACUCUAGGUAUAGCAUGCCUGGUGACGGCGCGAGCUAUUGCCUGAGCUGGAGGCUGGCUGUUGAGGCCAACAAUGUGCGUGCAUGGCGCACGGUCCCCACUCAGUGCUUGCGCUACGUCGAGAGUUACAUGAUCGGCGGGCAGUACGACCGAGACGUCGAGUUGGUCGUCGAGCAAAUCUUGAGCUAUGUCAAUGAAGUUGUUCUUUCUGGUGACGGCAUGGAUGCUUGGAUUCUCGAUGUCGAUGACACUUGCAUCUCCAAUGUUUAUUACUAUAAAGGAAAACGAUACGGGUAUAUUAUUAAUUGAUAAAAUGAAUAAUUUUUUUCCCCUCCUUUCCUUGAUGGGAUUUUUUAUAUAUAUUUUGGCUGAUUUGGUGAUGUGUGUGUGUGUGUGUGUAUAUAUAUAUAUAGAUGUGACCCGUAUGACCCGGCUGGGUUUAGGGCAUGGGCGCUAAAAGGAGGGUGUCCUGCGAUUCCUGGCGUGCUUGUUUUGUUUAACAAGUUGAUCGAGAGUGGAUUAAAAGUGAUUUUGGUUACUGGAAGAGAUGAAGAGACUUUUGGGCAAGUAACUCGUGAUAAUUUGCAUAAUCAGGGGUUCGUUGGCUAUGAGCGGCUGAUUAUGAGGUAACUUGGAAUGGUUUUAAUUAAUAUUAAUCACUAGUUUCUAGCUUUGAUGAAACUGAAAUAUUGUUUUUUUUUUUUUAAGUGGGCAAUUGAUACUGCUCGUGUUGUAGUGGACAGUUUUGUCAUACGCCGUGGGACGUUACUAAAUUGAAUGGUCUAUUGAAGUUUUUGAAUUGUUUUUUAACAUAAAAUAAUACAAACUUUGUAGAGUAACGUUACCUACAAUACUAUUAAGUCACGGGGUUGAAGUUGUCCAAAUCAACGACAAGAUGCCAAUUGGAAUUAGUAUUACUUUUUUUCUUUGGAUCUCUCUAAGUUACAUGCACUUAGCAUUAGCCUUUUUCUUUUUUAUUUUUUUCAACUGUAAUCCGAUUGGACAGCGAUGGACAACAGUUUUUUCACUUUUGCCUUGUGGAAAAGUGAACGCUAUGCACGUCAUAUAUAAUUUAAAGAGUUCUGCUUAGCAUUAGAGAAACACGAGAGAAAUUUAUCUUCUCUUUUUAUCCACCUACUCUCUUUUUUUUUCUUUUUUUUUUCUCUCAUCUUUUUCUACACCAAAUAUUUUUCUAAUUUCAAUUUGUUGGUGGCCACAGGACCGCAGCCGACAAGGGAAAAAAUGCAGUGACUUACAAGUCUGAAAUUCGGAAGCAGUUACUGGAAGAAGGUUACAGAAUUUGGGGCAAUAUUGGCGAUCAAUGGAGCGAUUUACAGGGAGAAUGCACUGGCAAUCGCACUUUCAAGCUUCCCAAUCCCAUGUACUUUGUUCCUUGAUUGAAUUCCAUGCUCACUCUCUUGUCAUCAAAAUCCAAGUUUGAAUUGGAAAUGGUCUUGUCAUAUGUCUCUGAAAUGAAUAUGAUUAUCAGAUGUAGAUCAUAUUAUAAACAACAAAAGAAUAAAUUGUUGGAAAAAUUUUGAAAAUAAAUGGUGUUUUAUUGUAAAGACAUGUCUAAAAAACAUGUCUAAAUAAAAUAAUGUCUUAUUGUAAAACAGUAAUGAUAUAGCCACAAACUCUUGUACAAACUUAUUUUAUACAAACUUAUGUGACACGAUAAGAUUGGUUGAAUUAAAUAUCACUUGGCCUACAUGAUUUGUUUUUAUUAUUUUAUAUUUUCAUUCAACUAAUGAAUUAACGUCACGUCAGUUUGUACAAGAGUUUAUGGUUGUAUCAUCACUCAUUGUAAAAACAUGUCUAAAUGAAUAAUGUUUUAUUAUAAGGACAUGUCCAAUUAAUUGUGGCUUAUAAAAAAAGUAUCUUUUCAUUUAAGAAUAUACUUUUCACGGUGACAUUUCACUUAGAAAUGCAUCAUUUCAUGGUGACAUUUCAUUUGAAAUGGUGAUUGUUUAAUUUGGACCAUUGAUUAAAAUUAAAUCUUGAUCCAAUGGCCAUGAAUGAAGAGGUAUCAUGAAAGAUGACAACCCAAAUGAAGGGGCACAAUUAUGUGUAUAAAUAGAAAUCAUGUUUAAGCCAUUUAUACAUGAAAACAAUGAUCCUACACCACUCUUUUCUUAGCCCUCUUUUCUAGAACGAAUUUCAUAUAAAACUCUUAUUUUUGUGUAUUAAAAAUUCAAUAUAUUGUUUUCUGUAGGAACAAUAUUUUAUUUCUUGGCAGGCUUGCAACAUUCAAGAGUAUUCUGGUUUGCUUUCGUCGAUGCACAACACAAGCAAACAAACAAGUGAUUCAUUGUAUCCUGGAGGCGUAUUUACUUAAACCAUGUGUAUCACUCAAUUGGUGAAGACAAAUAACAUCUUAAAGAAAACGACAUUUGUAACAUAUCUUGAAAUACACAUAAUUUUCUGCAGUUUACCUAUUACUAUUAUUUUGUUCCUACAUACAGAGUUGUAAAUACAUUACUUUACGUAAUAAAGUUCCACAAUUAUUAUUGUAUUUCUCUACAUUUUCCAUUCCCCACAAGUACAUACCAACAACAAAAACAUCAUCAAUUGCAAUGUUUUUUUUCCCCGGACUUUAAUCCAGUUUCAAUUUAGUAAUUAUUUACCUGGAUAUUCCGGCCAAAGUAAAUACUGAACCGGAGAAUAAAAAUACUUAUAUAUACUUAUCAUGACAAUAUAUUAUCAUUUAAUUACAUAAUUAUAUCUAAGAGCAUAAGUAUUGCAUUAUGAGCUUUUGUUCUUAAAUAGAUUUGGAUUCGGUAAAAGUCCAAGCGAGAGAUAAGUUCGGAAGGAAUUUCGGAUCAAACAAAUAGACAAGAACGGAAGAGAUAUGAUUCAUGUUCUUUUAAGUGCAUAAAAUAAAACUAAGCAACAAUUUAUGUUCUUGUAGAACAACAACAAUCUUCCUCAAUUAACUUACGAAUUUAUUUAUUUUUUUUGUAAAAAACAAUGAAUGAUGCAGAUGUUUCGAGGCAGAUUCAACAGAUGGUGAGGUUCAUUCGCCAGGAAGCAGAGGAGAAAGCCAAUGAAAUUUCUGUUUCUGCCGAGGAGGUUCAUUAAAUAUUAAAAAAUUCAACAAAUUCCUAAUUUUCAUUUCAUUUUUUUUCCAUGGUUCUGUAAUUUUUUUCCUUAAAUUAUUCUAUUGGGGCAUGCAAUGUAAUUAUGCAAAUGCUUUGACAGGAAUUUAAUAUUGAGAAAAUGCAACUAUUUGAAGCUGAAAAGAAAAAGAUCAAACAGGAAUACGAGCGCAAGUCAAAACAAGCUGAAGCUCGCAGGAAAAUGUGAGUGUUUCUCCAAAAAAAAAAAAAAAAAAAAUCUUAUGACUAUUUUUAUAAUGAAUUUUGAAAUGUUUUGCAACGGCAGCGAGUACUCAAUGCAGCUGAAUGCAGCUCGUAUACAAUUUCUUCAAGCUCAAGAUGAUGCGGUGAAUGCCAUGAAAGAGGCUGCGAGCAAAGAAUUGCUAAAUGUUUCCAAUGACAAAAACAAAUACAGAACCGUUCUCAAAGGCUUGAUUGUUCAAGUAAUAAUUACACUGAUAAAAGUCUUUCUUUAGUGCGAACGUCUGCACGUUAUUUUUUGGUUAAUUGUCAUGAUCAACUAUUUGCCUUCAAAUUUUGUAGAGUAUGCUGAGGCUGAAUGAGAAAGCAGUGUUGCUGAGGUGUAGAGAGAUGGAUCGUAAGCUAGUGGAGUCGAUUGUAGAAGAAGCUAAAAAGGAAUUUGCAGAGAAAACCAAAAGACAAGCUCCCAAAAUCACCAUGGAUGAUAAAGUUUUUCUUCCACCACCUCCAAAGAGUGCUGAUUCUCACGAACCUUCUUGGUAAUGAUCAUUGGUUAUUAAUUAUUACUUAAUCGAAUGAUCAAAUGGUUGUUUCUAUUUUUAUGAUGCUUGUAUCGUUGAUUCAUGGUUUAAAAGCUCGGGUGGAGUUGUUGUGGCUUCACAAGAUGGGAAGAUAGUCCUAGAGAAUACUUUAGAUGCAAGAUUGAAUGUUGCUUUCAGACAAAAUCUCCCUGAGGUAUGUAUUCCGCUAAAAGGAUUGGACUGAUAUUCUUUCCUGAUCUUAACUUUUAUCUGAGUAAGUGCUCUCUUUUAUGGAGUUGGAUCCCUCAAGAAGUCAAGAUUGAGCUUAUGCUUGUUCUCUUGUAUCCUUGCAGAUUAGAAAGCGGCUUCUUGGAAAAGUUGGAGUAUGACUGACUGAUUAAGCAGAAAUUUUCACCUCUUAAAGUGCAAAGAUUAAUUUCUUGAAGAAGUUAAGCUUCAUGGUUCAUCAGUUUUGUGUGUAUCUUUCAGUAGGGCAUAAUGCCAUGUUUUGUUAGACUAAUUGUUUGAAAUCUAUGAAAUAAAACUAGGAUUUUGUUAUCAUGCUGAUAUGAUAAACUGCCAUAAUCACUCCAAAACUCAUAAAUCAUGAACUAAUAUACAAUUGAACUACAAAUUCUUACACAAAAUCUUAGCUAAGAAACAGAAUACCUCCUACUCCUGCCAGUCUUCCCGUCUCCUCGAGAUUUUCGGCUGGAUUUUUGACGUUUACCUCCAGUUGGACCAUUAAAUAUUCCAAUCCUUCCAAUCCCUUUGGAGAUUGAAGUCAAGAAAGUUUUUCCAUUUCCUGACUUAUCUAUCAUGCCUUGUUUCAUGAACAUUUGCUCUUUCUCCAGCUCACUCAGCCUCACUCUCAUUCUUGAAAUUUCAAGUUUAAGUUCUCGGUUUUCUCUCCUCAAAGAAGCAUAGUUAUCACGAGGGGACAUGGCUGCACUUGGGACACCACUGCUCAUUCUCUGUGACAGGAAUCCAUCUCCCGAACUUCCUGAUAAGGCAUUCUGCAAACGUAGUUGCUCGAAGUAGAGGACUCUAACCGCCAUUUGCACUGGGAGUCUAUCAUUCUGUGCAGCAUGAUUGGAGGCUUCUUGGGAGAGUUUUUGGCAGUCUAUGAACUUGCAGAGCUUCUUGCAUUCAUGUUCUGUUAACAUUGGAUGAGCCUGAGCAAGAAAAUGAAACAGUACUAGUCAGAACUGAAACAAAAAGUGAGUACAAACUGAUUUAAAGCUAGACCUCAAUUACAAAGCAUAUCAAAAUUCAAAAAGCAAAAUAAUAAGAUAGGACAAUUCAUGAAACAAGACCUACUUUUUGAUAUCAUUAACUGUUCUUGCUAAAGACUGGUGUACAGAGAACAUAAAUGUUUUGGAAUCAACAGAGUUGUCAUCUUCAUGAUCUUACCUUCAAAUAUAUGUCAAUUGCUCUAUAAAGCCCAUCAUCAAUGACACGAGAAUAAUCAGGCAAUAUCUCUAACAUAGCGAUGAAUUUCUGCAAACUCAAGUAAGGAUCGGGAGCAAUUUCUGCAAGGUAGGCAUCAAUGAGCCGUCCAACUUUUAACAAAGAACCAUGACCUGGAGAACCAAGGCCUUCUGAUUCAUACCCACAAUUGUCAUUGUCUUCGUCUUCAAUCCGCUGUAGGAAAUUUAUCAGUAUCCGAUGGACAGUAUCAACAUCAAAUAAUGAAUCCCCGGUCUGGAUAGAUGGUAUAAGCAGAUCAUCAAGCGAAACCAUUUCCAACCGAAAAGCAAUCCUCCUUUCGAGUUCAAGCUUACAGGCAAUACUAGCAUCCACCAUGAUUCCCAUCCUUAACAUCCCAAACAGAAAAUUCUGUGGAAUGGAAGAGCUUUUCUCAUUUGGCAGAAGACUUACAAGAGUUUCCAAUAUAGUCCUCUGGUCAUUUUCUGCCAUGGUACGAUUUGAUUUCAUCCUUGCCGGAUUCCAAAUUUGAAAUUUUCCAAUACCCUUUAAUGAUGCUUGAGCAUAAUGCAUUAGAGAUGCAGUAAUGCUAUCAGGUCUAAUGCCUGCUCUUCCCAUUGCACAUACAACUCUCUGAUAAUAAUCAAUUCCUAGUGCUGAGAGAUCCUCAAUCCACCACUCAAGACACCCACUUUUAAGCUCAGCAGACUCACCAUUGCAAUCCAAACGGGACAAUCCUGACACUAGUUGCUCCUUGCAAGCAUUCACGGCAACAGCCUCGACACAUCUGUUCACAAUCCCCACCUCCUCUGCUACAGGAGGUAGCAUCUCACAAAUUGAAAGCACUUCCACAGACUUCUCGAGACUUUGUACUACAACCUCAUUCAAAUAAACUUCAGUCCUCGCAACGAGGUUUUCAUCUCGGUAGUCUUCAGUCAUUUCUAAGUACUCUGCAGCACAGCGCAAACUGGCAACAUUGGUAGUUGUGAUCUCAAAGUUCAUGCCAUAACAGAAUUUCACGGCAAGCUCAAACGUCUGCGGUCCACCUGGUAUGUUAUGGAGCUCCAAUUUCGAACUAUUGGAAUCCUUAGCAUCUGCAACCAUUUUCCGAAUCUUUCCACUUCGCGAUACCAGAGGAAACUUUGCAUCCAAAACAAAUAACACAAAUUUAAUUAGAUUGCUUGCCAUGAAACCAAACCAAGUUCAAGAAGAAUAUAAAGCAGAUACCAAUGCAUUACAAACAAAAUUGCUUCAAUUUGUAAGUUGUAACUGCUUGACAAAGAUCUUACCUUGUGAAGUAGAAAAGAUUCUCCAUCAACAACAAUUGUAAUGUCUCCGGCAACAUCUGAAAAGAUUCUGCAUGCAAAAGGAUUCAACAUUAUAACCAUUCUCAGAUGAAAAUUAGCACAAAUAAACUGAUUGUCCAAAAAAAUCAAUGGACCAAACCAGAGAAAGUGGGAAAAUCAACGUACUUUAUAAUCUCAGAUCCUGAAACCCUUUUCAUUUCUCUAAAGCUGAGACAUUUUUGAUCUACCAUGUUAACAAUAAUUCAAGAUUUAUAAUUUUAAACCAAAAAGAGUUGGAAGAAUGUUGUGAAGAAGAGAAUUAUCAGCUCAGUACAGAACCUAGAAAUUCUAUUUUUACUUAUAUUUUUUUAUUUUUAAAAAACUAAAUGGAAGCUCAAAGAAACAUACUGAAACAACUAAAUAAUUAUCUAUUAAAAAAAGAGAAAGAAAAAUCAUCUACUAAUCCAAGCACUGAACCCCACGUUUAUAGCUAACAGAAGAUGUACAGGACAAGAGAAACACGCACACACACACACUAAAUAACUAACUUAAAAACAAGACAAAACACACCCACACCCACACACACACACAGAUAUAUAUAUAUAAUUGUAUUCAGAUUAACUAUAUAGUUUAUUAGUAAUUACUAAAACUGAUAAAAAAGCACAAACAUGUGUUUUUAUUAUGGUACCGAGUGGUAAAGGAGUUGUUGCAGAACUUGGGAGCUGGAGAACGGCUAGUACUGCUAGAAGAAGAGAAAGGGCUGUCUGAAGAAGAAACCAUCUCUACCUCCACCUCUGUCUCUAUCUCUAUACCUUCCGCAAGUUCUCUAGUUCUCAGUUCUCUUUCAGACAGCAGUCAAAAACAGUCAAAGAAACAUAAAAAUGUAACAAGAACAGUCUCUCUAGUCAAAUGGAGGGAAACAUCGGAACUUACGUAAAUAACCCUUUUGUCCGAACAAAUUUACUUGCGUCACGGUCACCCGUCACCCUCCCUUUUCUGGUCACAGACUGCUUUGCUGAUCAAUGCAAGUCACCUUUAAUUUGCUUUCUCCGUUCUUCUUUUUCCCCUCCCCAGUCCCCACUAUGUGCGCUUUGUGGGUGUCUUUAGAUAGAUAAUGUAACUUUAUGAUGUUACGUCUUAUAAAGAAACGAAUAAAAAGAGUGAUGUUGCAGUAAGUAAAUAACAGAGGCAGCUAACUUCACGCCAUGCUGAGGGACAGAAUAAAGAUUAAAGAAAUUGAACAAAAGACGUUCAAAGUUUCGAAGUUUGAAGCCUGCGGAGCGACGAACGUUAAUGUUAUGGCUACCAAAUAGUAUGGCUCGUCCUACUGGCACGUUACUUUUAUGCUUUCUUUGACUGCUAAAUUUGAACCUUUUUCAACGGCUCUGUUAUCAUUUUAAUUAGGAGUGAUUAAGCUAAACUGGGAAUCAAUUUACAUUGGCUGUGGCAGCGCGUUAAUUUUCUGAAAAUUGAUUACUGUUAAAAUUAAAAAAAAAAAAAACAAAAACAAAAAGGUGUGAGGGCGUGGAAGGAGAGAGGAGUGGGCGGCUUGAAUGGCACGGAACUCAAUAAAGAUGGAAAUUAUUAGAGAGAAGUACAUUGCAAGAAAUAAUGGGUGCCAACUUUUUUUUUUCUUUUUUAAUUUGUAACUGCAUUUUCUUUAAUUUAUUUAAAUAAAAUAUAUGCACAUGUAUAAUGGAAUUUUAGGAGACAUGGGUGCAGUUGAUGCAUCUCCAUGGACAUGACUAAAGAUGGAAGGAAGGUAACUUGGAGGCCAACAUAGAGACUGUUGCAUUCCCUUUGCCCUUUGGCUCAUUACUAUAAAAACAUUUUUUGGGUAUGGACUUCUUUUGAAUUUUAUGACAUGUCAUGCUUCAUAUCUAAUUGUCUUGCAAAGUUAAACGUACCAAAGUCUUUAAUUGUCUUGCCUCAUAUCUAAUAGUGCAUAUAAAUUUAUGCAAGUUAUUCGUAAAAUCACUUUUUUAAUGAGAGGAUUUUCAUUUUAAUAUAAUAAAGAAUAAAGAUAUUAUAUCAGACAUUACAAUUACAAUAUUUACAAUCGUAUUAAAUAAUUAGGACUACCGCCAUAUAUUAACCCACCGAAGUACUUGUCCCAAAUACUUUAAACAUUCUUUAAUAUUCGAGGGGUGCCUACUCCACUCACAUUUUGUAAGGGAGAGAUUAUCUCCACUUAAUUAGUUGAUAAUUGAGGAAGAACUGAAACUAACUUCCAUAAUGCUCUUAUGGAGGCUCAAACCCUUACACUCAACAUUAUAAGUGCAAGGCUCUCCCAUUGGACCAAAGGCCCAUUGGUGACAUGACAAAAAUAUUUGAUUGAAGCUUUUCAAUUUUUUUUUUCUUUUGUUUAAUUUUGUUUAUAACUUAAUUAAAAUGAAAACUUUGAUCUUCUCACUUUAAGGGUGCCACUUGGCGAUAUUCAAAUUGAGGGGUUUAUGAGAGAAAUGAAAAAAAACAAUGAGGACAAGAGUGAAAAUACGAAAAAAGGGGCGCAAGUGGCAAGUUGAUGUUUGGCACCAGCACCAGAGGACUGAAAGGGGAGAGUGCCUGCAUCUUCUACUACAACCAGAAGAUAAAAAAAUGUUAAGCUAUAAUGCUGUGGCUUCUCCUUCCCGGUGAGACUGAGACCCUCUUUAUCCUUUUUUCACUUCACUUUCCUUUUUACUUCUCAUGAAUCUCAAUUUUAUUUAUUUAUUUAGUUUUAGCUGUUUUUGGUUUGAUUAUGACUUUGAUUCUUGUUUUGCAGAUGCCCAAUUGUUUCAUUUGGUUGCCAGUGUCAAUCAUCUAAUCAGUUAUUGUUUUCCAGCAAUCCCAAUUAUGGGCUUUCCAAAGGUAUGCACGCUAUCUCUUCUUUCUAAUUUCGGGUUCAAUAUUUUUUUUUCCUAUUCAUAGAUGCUUACUGAGCAGCUAAUGUUGUUCAAAAAUGGAAAUUUUAGUCAGUUAGUUUUAUUAAUGUUCUUCAAAAAUCGCAACUUUUGCACUUUUUUCUGAAUUUGGGAUACAAUGAUUUUGAGUUUGGACUGACUGUCUGUCUUUGUUUGUUUGAUUAUAUUUUUUAUUCCAGCAAGCAGGAAGCUAAAGGUUUCCCGAUUCAAGGCUAGGUUUUGGGAAUCCAUCAGAUCAGGGUAACGUGAUAUGUGUAUUCUUUUUCAACUCUACAUGGACACGGAUGCACAAGUGCACCUGCCCUCUCGUGCAUGCUAACAAAUGCUCCUUCUUGUUGAUAUAAAUGUAAACACAACUCAAUGUCCAAGUUUGGAAGUUUUUUUAUCUAGUUGUCAAGUUAACAUCUUUCCUCCAGUUGGGCAAGAGUGUUAUUGUAUUUUGCAAAAAAAUAAAAAUAAAAAAGGGAAAAAAUUAUAUUUCAGUGAACAAAUGAUAUUUGUUGCUUGGUAUUUUCUGGUUUAGUCAGUAAAGUACGAUAUUUAUUCUUCGUGUAAAUUCCACCACACACCCAAUAUGGUGCUAUGGUUCAAUUUGUAUAUUUUCUUGUCUAUGCUGCUCAUGUUUUACACCAAUUUGUUGAAUUGACAAUAGCAUGACAUAACAUAAUUUACAAGAAUUGAGUCUGGUGGACUUCUGAGGGAGAAGUAGAAUAUCCAAACACAUGUUUGUGGCUGGCACGAUAGAGAUAAUCAUGUAGCUUCCAGUUCAGAGAUUUAGUAAGAAUGCAGGUUUCCAUUUGGUUAUGUAAUUCCUUCAUUAGUUUGACGUUUCACCCCCUCCAUUGAUUUGGUUUCGGGGCUACAACACUGGACUGGGGUUGUUUGGGCUUUGUUUCUCAGUCAGUUAUUCUUUCUAGUUCUUUCAAAUGGAACGUGAAUUAACUUCGCCAUCUUAUCAUUGUCUUCAUUUCUAUUGUUGUUUUAUUCUUAUCACAGGUUCUUGAAAAACAACUCAACACAAGUCAUGGAAGCACCUCCUGAUCUUGAAGAAGAGGAGGAAGAACCGAUGCCUGAGGAGUUUGUUCUUAUUGAAAAGACUCAACCAGAUGGAGUAAUUGAGCAAAUAAUAUUCUCAUCAGGUGGAGAUGUUGAUGUAUAUGAGCUUCAAACCUUAUGCGAUAAGGUAUUUAUUGGCACUAGGUAUCUUUUUGCGAAUGCUGCAUGUAUAUAUACAGAACCUGCAAGCCAAGCUACUUUUGAUUUUACGCACACAUGUGCAUCAAAUUGUUCCCCGUGUUUGAAGUGCUUUUUAGUUCUAAAUUUGAACGUAAUCUUUUGAUCUACUUCUGAAAUCUAGAUCAUUAAAAUGCAUAAUAUUACAUGUUUUGAUAGGUAGGCUGGCCUCGGAGGCCGCUGUCAAAACUAGCUGCAGCUUUGAAAAAUAGCUACUUGGUAGCCACCUUGCAUUCUAUAAGGAAAUCACCAGGAUCUGGUACUUUUUAAGAAUGAUAACUAUUUCUCCUCAACUAUAAUUGGUAUAUUUAGCUGUAGAUGCACAAUUGUAUCUACCACUAAAUUACUUGGUGAAGCUAUUUGACAGAGGGGAAUGAGCAAAGGACCUUAAUCGGCAUGGCUCGUGCUACAUCAGAUCAUGCUUUCAAUGCUACAAUAUGGGAUGUCCUUGUUGAUCCUAGCUACCAGGUAAAUUUUUUAUUACAUGAACAUGGACUAAUACAUACCUAAGUGCAACACUAGGUGGGCGGACAUGCUUGUGUGGGUAUCUAGGUCAUCUUUUCGGGCAGAACUGUGACAACAAAAGCACAUUAAGAUAUGAUGUAUGAAAUAUUGCAUAUGAUGGUUAUGGAGAGUUGGAGAAAUGUGAACUGGAUAAUUAAUGAGAGUACUGUAAUCAUGAUUUUGUUCUUGAAUGAUAUAUAGCAGGUUUUUGGCCUGGGCGGGAACAAGGAUCUGGCCCAAUAAUUUGAUGGGAAACUGCAAAUAUGAGAUAACACAGAAUUGAUUCUAAUAUAAUGGCUCUUGAAUCUCCUUGAAAGCAUUACAAGAAAUGUUUCAAUUUGGGGGUGAUUUGACAUAUAAAAAUAUUUUUAGAUGUUCUGAUAAAAAAUUAAGGUUACCAUGGGAGUUCAGAACUUGUGUUGUUAGAAUGAGAGCACCAUUUGUGUGAUAAAUAGAUAACUUAUUGCUUAAGUUUUUAUGUUGACUGCAGUGUAUCUUUUACUAACACUGCUCUUUCCAUUCAGGGCCAAGGUCUUGGUAAAGCCCUUGUGGAAAAGGUAGUCAGGGCUUUGCUCCAAAAGGAUAUUGGAAAUAUAUCACUUUUCGCUGAUAGUCAAGGUAUAACUACCUCUAAACAAGUUUUAUUUCAUGACCUUUUACUCUCAUUUCAAGUAUCAAUGUUAGUUCACUUUUAUACUUAUUAUAUGCUGUGUUUGCUGAUUACUUAGAGAUUGUUGCCUUGCCAGUUACAACCAGUAAUCAGGUGGCAAAAGUAGUGUUCUGAAUGUUGAAGUUUCAACUUAUUUUAUUGUAUUUUCAUUGCAGUUGUGGAUUUCUAUCGGAAUUUAGGUUUUGAACCUGAUCCGGAGGGCAUUAAGGGCAUGUUUUGGCACCCAAAGUAUUAAUGACCACUGGCAAUGACUCUUAUCUGUCAGCCGGCAAGUUUGUAUGGAACAGAGGCAGCAGAUGAUCUGUAUGUAAAUCUGUACUAACAAUACAAUUGCAAAAUAUAUAUAUUGUUUCUUUUGGAUAAGAAAUCAAUGAUAUGUGAGCCAUCUGCCAUGAGUUUACAAGUUUACAAAAUCAAUAGUUGUUUCUUGCUAAGUGGAUUUCUAUUUCUUGUACUGUUAUAAUGACGUCUACUGGUACUACAGCUUGUAUAUAUUCCUAUUUAUUUACGGUGGAGUCAUAAUCCCACUUCAUCUACAUUAUCAACUUGGAUUUAUGCUUGCAUAAGAUAGUUUUAAAUUAAUUGUUGCUCUGUUCAAUUUUAUUAUUGUAAGGUUGAUGGUAAAUAAAAUGAUAGUCUCUUGUUUUUAACUUUCAAGAAUGACAUGUACUUGGUGAAGGUAGGUUGUCGGUUAAUUUGACUAAUACAAAUGCUGACAGAUGAAACUUUGUUUAGUAUCAAUGCUCGUUAAACUAGUUGAAUAUAACACCAAAAAUAAAAAAAGUUGACUUCUUAGAUUUAGUGGGGUUAUUUUUAAUUGUGCUUAGCAAUGCAUUGAAAUGUGCUUUCAUGAUUUAAAUUUCAUGUACAGCCUUUCUGCACGUCAUGUUAGAUUUUUAGUCAGAUAUUUAAUUUCAAUGGCAUCGAUGGAGGAAAUGGAAGUUGAUCAGGGAAAUAUUUUGCUUUUGUCAUGUUCAAAAUGAUGCAUGAUUUUAUUCAAAGAUUAGAUGUAAUGGAAAUAUUUUGCUUUGUCAUGUUCAAAAUGAUGCAUGAUUUUAUUCAAAGAUUAGAUGUAAUAGACAGUAACAUGAUCUUCCUCAUCGUGAUUUAUUAGAGUUUCAAUUAAAGGGGAGCCACAAUAUGUCAUUGAGUGUCAGCUUUUGACCAAGAGUGAUGAUAAAUGAUGCUCCAUGCCGGCAAAGUGUUGUAUUAUGAAGACUGUCCAAGAAGUGGGCAUAUAUUUUUUGAUCUGAUUUAUGUCAUUUGCUUGCCUCUACUGGACUCAACUGAUUAGUUAAUUGGUAAUUGAAGUAUGAAAACAUUAGAAUCAUUCGGCCAUAUCGACAUCAACAUUUCGGUAAGUAUUUUUGGAGUCACUAAUGUUGCCGAACUCAUUCAAUUCCAAUUCCAAGCACCCAAUGGAUAAGUUCUUCUGAUUUUUUCUGAGAGGUUUCUGGGUAACUGAAAUUAUCACUAACAUGUGUGCUGAAUGACCUUUUUUCCCAGCUAUGAUUAAGUGAAAGAUAAGAAUUUGGUAUUAUGAAGACUUCCAACAAAACUGGAAAAAGUGCAUCUGCACGCAUUAAAAUAUGGACUUGAGGAGGAAAGAAAAAUUCUUUUUUCUCUCAAUGUAAUAGCCAACCACCAUUACUUACCGGCUAAACUUCAACGGACCUUAUCAAUCACUGCGUGUGUAAUUACAUAGCCAUCACAGCCAGAAUUUUAAACCACCAAACCUUUAGAUCUGCUGUUCAACUCUUUCUUUACUGGCCACCAUGAACUAACAGCACCUUACCCCCACUGCCGCUGCUGCCACCAGCCACCAUUGUAUCAGCUUCUUUUAUUGUGCUUCUUGUUAUGCUGUGUUGUGUUGUGUUAGUCUCGUGUUUUAGUCGUGUUUUUUGGCAUGAUUCUAUACUGCUUCUACGGUGGUUCUAGUGGUCUGCAUAGAUGUUGUCCUUUCAGUGUCUGGGUUAGGAUCAUGUCAGUGUUAUGAUUAGAAGGGUAUGCCUAUAUUAAAGCUGUUGAGAGCUUUAAUAGUGGUGCAUCGAGAGGUUCCAAUGACCUGGGGCGAGAUUCUGAUGACCUUGGGAUAGGGUUCAUUGAUAUUGAGACUUUUUGGUGAAUCGUAGGGGUGGUUUUGUUGUAGUUUUGUGAUUUUAUUAUUAUUUGUUUGUGUUUUGUGGUUAGAAUUGUGUUGUAUUGUGUUAUAUAUACCAGAUAAUAUGAAUUUUUUUUUUCUUUUGAUUGGAAAGCAGUUUCUUCUAUAGUAGUGAAAGUGUGUUCCUUUAGUGCUUUGUUGGAUCUUAAUGUGUGAAAUCAUUUACUCUCCUUUCAUCUGGUAGAAAUUUGUAGUAGUGUUUGAAGUUAUGAAUUAUUUAUAGACAUUGUCGUAACUUCAACUUGAGUCUUAGGUAUUGUCUUAUAAUUGUACUUAAACUUGAUGUAAUCUUAUAUUUACGUCUAUAUGACAUUGUAUUUUAAGCCGUUAUUGGUCUUUUAAUGAAACGCAUACUUUUCUCUAAAAAAUAAUAAUAAUAAUAAAAAAAAAAGAAAAAAAAAUGAAAGAGAUGUUUUAACUGACAUUUGAAUCUGGUCGUUUUGGUUAAAACUAAAAUAAAUUUAAAAUGAUAAACUAUUGAACAUCUUAAAAUGAAUGUUAGCUAUUACAUUGUUGGCGAUGCUGUUGCAGCGCUUCGGUCCCUAAGUUUUAACAAAAUUUACUAAGAAAAUUUGUAAUUUUUUCUAUGUAGAUUUUUGCCAUUGGGCUCUGUUAUACAAUUUAUUGAAAAUCGAUAGUCAGACCGUUAUAUUGAAAUCAACUUGUCCAUAGACUUGAUUUGCUUUUAAAAACUUCACCAAUAAAUAGUUAAAUUAUUGUUCAAUUUAUGAAAUUUCAUUAAGUGGUACGUGAAAUUCGAGUCGAACUUCGCUCACAUGAAUAAAAAUGAUUUUUGAUUCUCAUCGGAAUAUAUAUACACUUUUAAGAAGUCAAUGGGCAAAGCUUGUAUGAAAUUUAACGACAUGGCUCCUCAUGAAAUAAAAAUAUAAACCAUAGUUGUUUCUUGCAAUAUUAGUACAAUUCAGUGAUUCAAAUGUUAUUAACUAUAUGCGAUCAAAGAAGUUAAGCUUUGGCGCCACGCUCGAAGGACGAAGUCCGAGGCCAAGCUAGCAUUCAGUUACCUCCAACUUGGACAGAGCCGCUUACCAAAUCCUUUUACUGAGUUAAAACUUAAUUAAUACCCUGUCCCAAUCCUCCUUCCAUUCAGAGCUCUACAUUAUAUUCCAUGCAAAAAAAUUGGCUUUAUUAGUCAUCAAGCUUCUGUAAGCUUUUCUUGUAGCAACAAUCACGAUGGUCUAAAUGCCCAAUUGGGUUAAAGAAAGAAACAUUCUUGUGGUAUUUUAAGCACUUUCCACUGGAGGGCCUCAAAAGGUUUCUGAAUCUUCUUUCGGGUUUGUGCUGAAUUUGCGUUACAUAGAUGGCACGGCGGGGAGUUUAUCUCAUUAGGAUAACUCCAGUCGCCUCAUAGUCUUGUUGCUUUUUCCUAGUUGUUUCUGGACAGAAUCGUACUCACCCAGUAGAAGGUUGAUUUCACUUUCAUUUUGUACUUGAAAAUACAUACACCGCAAGCUAAAAUUUUCCUGUCGAAUCUUUCUUAUUAAAUUCUCGAUCAUCUUGUAAAGUUGUUUGUUAUGCGUCACUGUUGAUGCUUUGAAGUCAAUCCACUGCAAACUUAAAAGAUAUCGGGAAAACUAUCAAUAAUUGUAAAAAGACCGAUCCAUGUAAAUCAAAUUGGACCGUGGAAAUCUGCACCCUUGGAUCCAAAUGAUGGCUAUUACCAUGUCCAAGAAUUGUAAGUUCAUCAGAUAUUUUUAGUAGUCUUGACUUAAUUAGCACAUGAAGUUGCUAUGUGAGUUUAUAGUAAAUCACAAACAGGUUGCUGAGAUAUGAGAGAAGUUUUACUGUUAUAUUUUGAAUGUUUUGAAAUGAACUAAGAUUGGUUUGUGCAUUUUAUCAAAAGUGAUUUGUUUUGGCUUAUAUAUUUUUAGGUUUCUAUACGAUUAACGCGGUUGCUAAAUAUGGAACUUUCGGGAAAGUUAUCUCCUGAACUUGGGAAACUAUCUCUUAUGGCUAUACUGUGAGUCCGUCAUGUAAAAAACAAAUUGCUAUGCAUUGAAUCUUCAACCAUUCCAAUCUAUCAUUUACUUUUUUCUCCUUGGUGUAUUCUUUUGCCAGGGACUUCAUGUGGAGCAAUAUAAAUGGUAACGUACCGAAGGACGUAGGAAUCUGCUUCGUUUAAAUCUCCGGUAAGUUAGAAUGUCAAGGUUUCGACUUGGUAUCAUAUUGCUUCAAGUGCUUAACACACAAUGAAUCUUCUCUUGCAGGCUAUUGAGUGGAGACCAGUUAUCAGAGUCUUUACCUGACGAGCUUGGUAAUUGCUCUAACUUAGAAAUACUAAACCUGGACGAUAAUAAUAAUAUAUGAGGACCACUGCCCAAAACAUGUGCAAAAUUGACCAAAGCCAUGCACUUGCUAGUUAGUCAAAUGUUUUGAAAUUAACCAGUACUUUGAUGCUAUUCUUGGAGCUUGUGUUCAUAGAUUUUGUUAAGUGCAGUCUUAUGAACAACAAUUCAAUCAGUGGUCAAGUACCAACCGAGCUUUCAGAAUUACCUAAACUUCUACAUUUUCGAGUUCAAUAAAAAUUUACUUGUAUUUUUUUUUUUUUGGAAAUCCAUAUAAAAUGAGUUCAAAUCUUAUGAAGUAAAAUUUAUUCAAUAAGCCCUUCUAAUUUACAGAAAAAUAAGAUUCUUCUUGUUAAUCGUUUUUAAAGUAUAUAUUUUAUUAAGAGAUAUCUAUGCUGUCUAGAAACUAUCUAGUGUGAUUAUUGUAUCAUGGAUUAACUAACAAUAAACAUAACUUAAAACACAUCCUAAAUCAUGCCUAAAGGUAUGUAAUAUUCUAAAUCGUAAUAGAAUACACUAUAGGAAAACUAGUUGGGCAUAUGAUGAGUAAGACUUAUCAACCAUUAAGACUCUCUCCUAAGCAAGAGUCUAAAUACUAGGGUACGAGCAAAGAGUAAUGAGCAGUUGAGAGAAUAGAAAAAUGCCACUGUAAAUUUAGAGUUAUGGAAGAGGGAACAAAAAGUAUGAAUUUAUAGGGAACCAUAGGAAACCCUAUUAACUUUGGAAAGAAUAGAUAUUUUCCAUAAUUAUCCUAUGAAUUUUAAUUAGGGAUAUAAGAGAAGAAAGUUUCUACAUUAAACCAUUCUUCUCCUCUCAUAAUUCUUUUUUCUUUUAACAAAAAAUUCGGGUAUUACAAUUAUAGCCUUUUUUUUAUGCCUUCAUCAAUUUCUUUGAUAUUCUCCCAUAUUUUGCAAAUCAGACUAUUGUGCAUCAUUUUAGGAAAUUUGAAUGAGAUUAAGGCAGUAGCAUACGAUUAAUUACAGAAGUUGAUGAAUCCUUCGAGCGUUUGCAAGCAUUGAUUUUCCGUUACUUCUGUCAUUUUGAUGGUGACUAUCUUUCAUUGGAAAUGCUCCAAGUCUUUACUUUCACAUCUAAGUCCAUGCAGCAAAUGUAGUUGACUAAUCAGUUGGAAAUGUACAAUUGGUUCUUUUAUGUUAAUUUUUUUCAUUUUUGAUUGGAAACAUCCACUACUACAAAACUGAUCAUUUCUGAUAGAAUUAUUCUAUCACAAAUAAUGUUACUGACAUAAUUAUUUUUUGUCACAAAAGCCACAGUAAGAAUGUUGUGACAGAAUAUUUAUUGUUUUGUGACAGAAAAUAACUGUCAAGAAACAAUGUUAAAAAUAUACUUUCACACAUGGCAACGUAUAUGCACAGUAUUUUGUUGAUGUGGCAUCUUAUUUGGCAAUUGAGUUGGCAUAUAUGGCCCCACAAUUGGCUGACAUGUUAAUUAUAAUUUUUUUUAAUAUAAUUGAUGUGGAAUCUGACAUAUUUGUACAUGUGGAAUAAUUUGCAAACGUGGCAUAUGAUGUGGCUACUAACAUUAUGGUAACGUGGCAAUCAUUUCUGUCACAAGUGGAUGAUAGAUUUUUGUCACGGUGGGAAAUAUAUUCUGUCACAUGUGCAUGAUAGAUAUUUUUCAAUUUCAAUUAUCCUUUUUUUACAAUUCCUAAAUAAUAAAAUUCUAAAAUAAAUCCAUUACAAUUAAAAAAAAUACAAAUUGGUUCAGUAAAUCACAUAAUAAAUUUUUAUAAAGUAUAAUCCAACAUACAUAUAUUUAUAUCUAGUAUUCCAAAAUAUAAAGUAGAAGAUAAAUUCAAUCCAGGUAAUAAACAUANNNNNNNNNNNNNNNNNNNNNNNNNNNNNNNNNNNNNNNNNNNNNNNNNNNNNNNNNNNNNNNNNNNNNNNNNNNCCAAAAAGAAACAUCAAUGUAUGUUAAUCGCCUGAUCACCAGUAGCAUAUAUAAGCAAUGAACAACAGCAACAAGUUCCUGCAUACAUAGAAAUAAAAGAAAAUGCAUCAACGUAAUGAAAUUUUGAAAUGCUGCUUAGUUACAAAUACAUAAAUUUACAUCAAUCGGAAAAUGGUCCAUAUGAAUGAAAAUACUGAUACUUUUUAAAAAAUUGUCACAAACCAAGUGUCAGUAAAGACCAUUUUUCUAGUAGUGACAAUAUCAACCAACAAUAAAACGUACACAAGCAUUAGCCAACAAAAAUAUGUAAACAGAAACCUAAAAAAGCCUAAGAACUUAGAAUGCUUACAAAUAUUAAAAAACAUUAGUUAACAACAAAGUCAAACUAUUCUAUUGCCUAUAAACUAUAAUAUUCUAAUUAAUACAAAUAUACUUAAAGAAAAAUGGAAAUGAGGGAAUAAUUACUUAUGAAAACUAAAGUGAAUAUCUGAUACCUAAUACUCUCUUUUGUAUAUUCGUAGUAUGAAAAAGCCAACUUUCAACGGAUAUUUAUAUCACAUACCUGACAUAAUCACAACUUUUCCAAGACAAAGGAUGCCCACUCCUUACGGAUUUCAUCAAUCUCUUCUUCAUUAUAAGUUUUCUUUCCAAAGAACUAUAAACAAAUUCAAAUAAAUUAGCUAUUAUAUAAAUAUAGUACUACAUCAUAAAAAAUGCAUACUUACAUCUUCUUUUAGAACACUGUUAUCAGCAAUGAUAUCUUGCAUAUAGGACAUGACAUAAAACCCGCAUUCGACAUUGCCGGGUUGUCUCGGUGCCUAAAAAAUUAUUCAAUUAACUGUAUGUUAAGAAUAUUUAUCAUUUGAACUCAAAUGUGCAUGAUAAUUAAUAAUUAAUUACUUUUACCUUCACUGUAGCCCAAUUAACUUUAACUUUAUUGCUUGAAACUGAUUCUUUAACAUUAAGUCUUGCCAUGGCACUGCAGAAUGUAUGAUUAUCCAUGGUAGAAAUUGUCAAAACAUACCUUUAUUGUCAUAAACAUAUGUAGAAACAUAUAAAAUUUCACUUACUUAUUCAAAAGAAGCCUUAGAUCCAUAUGCAUUGGUUGUCGCAUUGGAUCCAAAUAGUAUAUUGUAUUAGAAUCCAUGUCAAUAACAAUAAGGACCCAAUGAAAUCUACAACAAAUCAAACUUUAAUUUUAGUAAAGGAUUUUCUUAAAAAAGUAAUGUGAUUAAAUAAAAUAAUAAGACUCAAGUACUUACUUAAGAUUAUAAGGCAUGAAGCAUAACUGUCCAGAUUGAAUUCCUUUCAAUUGGGAUACAAUGAUUUUCGUUCUAUCAAUUCGAGAUUUAUUGGUAUUUGCUCGACCAGAAAGCGAGACAGCAGCUGGAUUUAUGAAUUUAUACUUCAUCGUCAUCCCAAUCUUCUUUAGUUCCUCAUAUAACUUCCUGUACAAACGAAAAUUUAAUAAGUUAUACAAUAAUUAAUAAUUAAAACAUAAGCUCGCAAGAAAUCUCAAUCUUCUUUACAUUGUCCAUAUCAUGAGACAAUUCACUGUCAACUCCUCGAAGUAUGCCAACACACUACAAUCCUCUAUCGUUAUGUAUGUGUUGAUAUCACAUUGUCCAUAAAUCAAAUCCUCAAAAUAUACUUUCUUUCCUUGAAACCUAAGAAGCUCUUGUGCCAUGGUAAGAAACCGUUCAAUUUCUUCGCAUCUUUUCAUUUUCAGAAUUCUAGAAUGCUCUUCUGCCUGAGAAAGAAUGUGUUCAAUAUCUUCACUAAUCUUCAUCCGUAUAAUGGUUUCAUCACCCUAAGUCAAGAAAUGUAAAUUUAUGUUAAUUUUCAUUCAUAAAUUAAAAGAAAAAUGGCUAGCUAAUUUAAAUUAUCUAACGUAUUCUAAUUACAUGGCAUAAGAUUUUAUAAUCUGGGGAGGCUUCUUCAAUGCCAACAGGCGGCAUGGCUUUAUGACUGUCACUUUCUUCUUCCACAUUGAUCGCUCUUUUUUUGCUUUCCUCAUUUUCAAUGACAUUGUAAGCUCUUUUUUUAAGCUGUUUUUCAUUCAAAUCAUCUUCCUAUCUCAUAAAAUUAAAAAAUGAUCAGCAUAAAACAAAUUAUCUAUAUAAUAAACCAUGAAGAAAUUCAAAAUUGGUUUAACUUACAUCUAAAAACACUCAGAACAUCAAGCAUAAAAUAGAAUAAGUGAAGGAGUAACAUAUCAUAUACUUACAUCAUCAUUAUCUGAGGAGACAGCAUCUAUAUCUAAUUGCUGGCCAACCUUCUUACCACUAAUCUUCAUAUUAGAACUCACACCUUCAGAAUCCUUGCCACUUACAUUCAAAUGUGCAGAAAUAUGUUUUAGUUGACUGUUAAUUUCACAUAAUGUCUCUUGAAAAAUGUUUCCUUCUGCAUUUAUUGAACAAUUAGUUUUCACAGUAUCAAAGUACAUUGAAGCAGUAAUAAACUUCCCUAAGCCUUGCAUAUGGCCAGUAACAGGAGGUUUGCCUAAUGCUUUAGCAAGAAUAUCAUCCCUUCCCUCAACUUUCAUUACUCCUUUCUUUACUUCCCUAGCCAAAUUAUCCUAAAACCGAAACCAAAUAUUAAUGAAUCCAACAUAAUUUCCAAAUUUUCCCUCAAAAAAUAGUAUAAAUUCAUGAACAACAUCAAUAAUUCUUACAAUCUUAUUAACAAUGGGUAAUGCUUCAGAUUUAAACUCUCCAGACUUGCUUUUGCGUCCCUCUUUCCAUAAAAUGCUUCUAUCAAUUUGUAAUUCAGAUAGGCCUGUCUCUUUCAUCUAUUUAGAAAAGUAUCAAGAAUUAAUUACAUGAAAUAAAAAGAAGGUUAAUAAUUAAUUUAAUUAUUAAUUGAAACUUCACAAUUGAGACAAUUAAUUUUGAAAUAAGUUAUCACUUACAAUUUUCUUAACUACCCUCUUAUAACCACCAGAACCCAAGCUAUGAUUAUACUGGUUCUGCUUUCGAGCAUCUUGUGCUCUUCUCCGUUGCUCCUAUACAUUGAAAUGAUUGUAAAACAUAGACAUUACAUAUAGACUAUAGCAAAGAUACAAUGAUAAGAGUGGCAUAACCUGUAUCAAUACCUCAAAAUUAUGUGAUAGUUUUUGAUCCACAAACUCUUUCCAAUGAUGAUCUUUGAUAUACUGAUAGUUCAAUGGCGGUUUCUGUAAUUCUCUACGAUUAUGCUUGUUCGGGACAAUAUAAGUGACAUACAAGUUGUGACGAAACUGUCUAUGUGCUGUUCCCAUUUGCAUGAUAACUUGUUUUUUGGAGCAUACAUCCACUUUAAAUAGUUUCUACAAUUAAACAUGCUGAAAAAAUGAAUAACUGAAAACAACAUGUGAAACUCUUUAUAUUUUUAAAUGAUAGGAAUAAAAUUGUAAAUAAUCAAACCAUAAGUUGUUAUCAUUUUCAAAAAGCAUUGUAUCAACCAAAAUCAAUAUCACAAUCUGAAAAUUCAUGCUUCAUAUAGAACUAUACAGAGGUUUACACACAUCAAGUAAACUAUUAUCCUUUUAUUGACCUAAAGAAUUAACUACAAAACUGAUUCUCCUUUAAGUUUUUUAAAUACUUGAAACAUUACCUGGAUGUAUUUCCAUAACUCUUCUUUGUAAAUUUGAGGAACUUUACGCCAAUCAUUGUACACGAUAGGUAUCACUUGACGUGCCAACAUACCAAUAGUUUGGUCCAUGUCAAUGGCCUCAGCUCCACAAGGAAUUCCUCUUUCAUUAUAUUCAACCACGAUCUGACCACUAUUUGAUUGUCUUUUAAAUACACUAGCUUUUUUAGUGAUUCCUCUUGAAGGUCGACCAUUAAGAUCCAAUGGAUCACUAUCAUUAUUUUCACCACCAUAAGCAUUGUUUUCUGAUUCACACAUUCUGUUAGAAAAGAAACAUAAAAAUCAUUAGUAUUGGUCAAGCUUAACAGAAAAUUUUAACUACAAAAUAAAAAAUAAACAUUAAUCAUAGAUAAUGAAUGUAUUAACAACCACUGAAAAAAUUUAAUAAAAAUAAAACUAACAAUAUUAAUUACUGCUAAAAAAACACUUACUAUAAUGUGAAUUUAAUAUGCCAUAUUCUGUUGAUUGUUAAUUAUCAACUCUAACACUUGGCCAGCCUGGACGAUGAUAGAUUUUAACAUCAUCAUCUUCCUUAUCAAACGAAUUAACUGUUGGUGCUUCAUUUAAAAAGGGAGGAUGUUCAAUGAUGUUGUCUCCCUCAACUUUAUUUGCCAUAGAUUCAUUGACCUUUUGGGCCAUAGCACACACAACUGAAAGACGUUCAUCACGUUGAUCAGGAACAUAAAAUACUUGUUUUGCUUGAGAAGCUAAGAUAAACAAAUCAUUUUUGUGACCUAUCCGAUCAAGUUCAACAGAGGUGAAACCAAGAUCAUCAACAUGAACACCGUUGCCACUGUCAACCCAAUCAACCAUAAACACCAACACCUUGAACAUAGUAUAAUCAAUAUCCCAUAUCUCAUUGAUAACCCCAUAAUAUGUCAUGUCACUAACUACAGGAUUUUUGUCUUUAGCACUUGCAAUUUGCAUUGUGUUUGCCACAAUAGUUACACCACUAUUUUGAGUCACUCGAUUCGUAUCUCGAUCUCGUGCUAGAAAAUAAAACCCAUUUAUGAGAUACCCUGGAUAUUUAAUCACAUUUGGGCGAGGUCCUUGUGAUAACCACCACAAUGAAUUUGAAACUAAUUCAUCAUUUAAUUGUGCGUUUGACACCUACAUGUAUUAGAUUUAUUAGUAUUGUAUUACUAAAAGGGUAAAGAUUUUCCUUAUUUAAAAGAACUUGGACAGCAACAAACCUUCUCAUCCAACCAGUAAGUAAAGGUGCGAUGGUGCUGGUCUUGUAACCAUUUUGUAUUUUUUGAUUUACGAGGAUAUUGUUUCUUUAACCACCUCAUGUGUUCACUAAAAAAAAGUAACAUGGACAUGAAUCUUUAUAAAUUAUAAGUUUUAAAUGACAAAGCAUAUCAAAAAGUUAAAAGAUUCUUACUCAAUAUAAGGUUGAACCUCUGCUGUGUUUUGUAACACAUAACGAUGUGCUUGCUCCAACAGUUCAUGACGAACUUCUACCAUUACUCCACUUGUUAAAGGCUUUUCAAUUAAUAUCAUGUCUUUUUGUCCAGGGGGAUUUCCAAUUGCAUUUAAAACUGAUAGGAAAUCAGCACAAAAUUCCAUUGCUUCUUCAACCAUGUAACACUGAGCUAUGCAUCCUUCAGGACGGUUGCGAUUACGGACAUAACCUUUCAAAGGUUUCAUUUCCCUUUCAAAUGGGUACAUCCACCUAAGACACACCGGACCACAAAGCCUAACUUCUUCUACUAGGUGAACAGUCAAAUGAAUCAUGAUGUCGAAAAAGCAAGGCAUAAAGGUUUUUUCCAACACACACAGAGUUUCAACGAUGUCAAGUUGUAAUUGAUCAAGCUUAUUUGGGUCAACGACAUUAGUGCACAAAGAAUUGAAGAAAAAGCAAAGUCUUAUGAUGGCACAUCUAACAUGUUCUGGUAAAAUUGACCUUAUUGCUAAGGGUAAGAUUUGUUGCAUUAGGACAUGACAAUCAUGAGAUUUUAAUCCAUGAAGCUUCAAAUCUGACAUAGAUACAAGAUUUUUCAAGUUUGAACAAUAUCCUUCAGCGACUUUGAUAUCUACUAAGGUUUGACAAAACUUCAUUUUCUCCUCUCUGCUUAAUGUGAAACAAGCUGGUGGUAAAACUGUACUACUUCCCUCAUUUUUUGGAGUUAACUCAGGCCUAAUCUUUAACUCUACAAGAUCUAAUCUUGCUUUAAGACCAUCUUUAGUCUUACCCGGAAUAUUUAAUAGAGUGCCAUAAAUGCUCUCACAUACAUUUUUUUCAAUAUGCAUCACAUCUAAUUGAUGUCGAACAAGUAAAUGUUUCCAAUACACAAGCUCAAAAAAAAUUGAUUUCUUUUUAUAACACACCUUCACAUCACCUUUUACACUACUUACCCCCUUUUUUCGUUUCAUUUUUUUCUUGUUCUUCCCAUAUGUGCAGUUAAUGCCAUCAACCAUCUUUAAAAUUUGCUCACCAGUCAAUGGUUUAGGAGGGAACUCAGUCUCUACCUUAUUGUUAAAUACUCUUGUUUUGUCUCUAAAAGAAUGACCACGUGGAAGAAAUCGUCGGUGGCCCAUAUAUACCAUUUUAUUACUAUGCGACAGCCACUGUGCAGCAGUUCCUUCCUUGCAAAUUGGACAAGCAUAGUAUCCCUUUGUAACACAACCAGAUAAAUUACCAUAUGCAGGGAAGUCGCUUAUAGUCCACAUUAACAUGGCACGUAAAAUGAAAGACUCUUGCUUACUCGCAUCAUAGGCUUCAAUGCCCACAUCCCAUAAAAUUUUCAAAUCAUCAAUCAAUGGUGCUAAGUAAACAUCAAUAUCAUUUCCGGGUUGUCGCGGCCCAGAGAUCAACAAAGACAACAUCAAGAACUUUCUUUUCAUGCACAACCAAGGUGGAAGGUUAUAAUUAACAAGUAUAACUGGCCAGCAACUAUACUGGCUACUGAGGGUACCAAAAGGAUUGAUCCCAUCAGAACAAAGAGCAAACCUAACAUUUCUAAUCUCAGAGGCAAAAUCAGGCCAUAAUUUGUCAACUAAUUUCCAUGAAGGAGAGUCAGCAGGAUGACGAAGCAUACCAUCAUUUUCUCUACCAUGUGCAUGCCAAGUUAAGUCUUUUGCAGUUUCAGGAGAUUGAAACAAGCGUCUCAACCUAGGAACGAUAGGAAAAUACCACAGGACUUUUGCAGGAACCUUCAGUUUUUUUUUAUCUAUGUGCUUACUUUGAUUCUUCCAUCUUGAUUGCCCACAAGAAGGGCAUUCAACAAGAUUCUCGUAGUUCUUUCGAUAGAGAAUACAAUCAUUAGGACAUGCAUGUAUUUUCUCAUACUGCACACCCAAUACACUCAUUGUUUUUUUAGCCUCAUAAAUUGAUAAAGGUAAUAGAUUAUCUUCUGGAAAAAUAUCUUGAAGACAAAUGAGCAAUUCUGAAAAACUUUUAUCUGACCACCCAUAUCUCCCUUUUACAUUGUAUAAUUUCAACAAACCAGAUAACUUUGUAUAUUUACUACAACCAGGAUAUAAAGGCUUCUCAGCAUCUUCUAAUAAAUCCCUCAAUGACUCAACAUCAUUAUCACAAUAUCUAAAUGCAUCAUGCACCAUUUCAACAGUGGCAGCAAAGUCAUUGUUGGUAUUUUGGUCAUUAUAGUGGUCUUCGCAUGAGAAUGUUGUCUUCUCUCCAUGCCAAGACCAAUCUUUGUAACUUCCAUCAAUACCAUUCACAAAUAGAUGAUCUACUACCUCUCGAGGUGUUCGAUAUAUCAUGUUCACACAUUUUUCACAUGGACACCUUAUAAAGUUAGGGUUAUCAGAAUUUUUAAUGGCAUACUUAAUAAAGCUGGCAACCCCUUUUUCAUAAGCAAUGGACUGCCUAUUGGAUGACAUCCAUGAUUUAUCCAUUGUAUGAAGUAGAAAAUAUCUCCCUGAAAAGACAUGAUAUAUUUAAUUAUUUAAUUAAUUUAAUGAGUAUUAAUUAUAUAAUAGGAGUAGAAAGAUAAAAAAAAAUUUAAGUAAUAGUAAUAAUAGUGGGUGCCAUUUAUUUGGAAUGUAAACUUUCUUAUAUUAAAAACAAGAGAUCUAAGGCUUGACUCACAUAGGUGGGAAGAAAUUAAUUGGAUUGCCAUUAUGUUAAAUAAAAUAAAAGAUAAUAGUAUUAUUAAGUAGUACUUCCUUACUAUUCCUAUAUUAGUCAUUAAUCAUUAUUUUUCCGAAUAAAUCAUGAAACAACAAUUUGGAUAUUUGAAUAUAAGAAAUAAUUGUUUAAAAACAUAGUUUAUGUAAUAGGUGCUUGUAGCUUUUACCAAUAAAACAUAUUCUUUUAUGAAUUAGCUCUGUCACUUUAAUAUUUUGAUACUUUGGACCAAUUUUUACUAUAUUCUCUUUUGAUUUUGAACAUAUUUUUUAUAUGAACAAUUUUUAUGACACUGUUUUCCUUAUCUUUUACUACUUUUACUAUUAAUUUCAGUCAAAAAAACUUUUGCUCUGUACUUGUGUACAUUUUAUUUUUCCAACUUUUUUUAAGGAAUGAAGAAGGUGGCUAUAAUUUGUCAUGCAAAGUGUUAAGAAUAAGGAUGUUAAUUAGUUGUACAUCUUUAAUAGUUACUUGAUUUUCUAAUAAAUCCAAAACAUAUGAACUAUCAACUACAAAGUAUGAAUUAUUACUUGAAACCAUCUGCAAAAGCUCUACUUUUUACUAACAGCACAUAAAUAAAUUAUUCAUCAUUGUUGUAUUAGUAAAGGUGUCAUCUAGCACAUGCUAUAUUCCAAACACAAAGACAAAACUAUAAUUAACAUACUUUGCACUAAAAGCACAUAAAUAAAUUAUUCAUCAGUGUUGUAUUAGUAAAGGGGUCAUGUAGCACAUGCUAUAUUCCAAACACAAAGGCAAAAUUAUAAUUAACACAUAAACAUAUAAUAUUAUUAAAAAUCAACAUUAAAUAAUCCAAAUAAAAGGAAAUAACUCAAUGCAAGAGAAAAUUUUCUAAAUCAAAUCAACUCAAUUCACACAAAAUAACUUAUAAUGAAGAAAUUACCUUUUUGAAAACUAGAAGCACCGUAAAACUCCACAACUCUACAAAGCAGCAGUAACCAAGACAAGCCUGAAGCCAAGAACAAAAUCUCAUAAUAUGAAACAAAACAAAUAUUUAACUCCAGAGAGCUUAAAUUUAAUUGUCAUUGCAAGGGAAUUUUAGAAAAUACAAAAAGCUAUAUGUGCCAAGAUCAAAAAAAGUAAAUUACCUUAAAAUGUAGCAAACAAACUUUAGAAAAUAAUUCCUCUCAUUUUAUUUACUCUACUACUACUACCGUCAUCUGUAAUGAAUCAUCAUUUCUUUUAAUUUAUGCAUCUAUUGAAUUCUCAUUUUUCUUGUAAUUGCAAUACAAAUAAAUUAGAAUAUCAAAUAAUAUUUUUUUCUAAGUGUACUUUCUUAUGGUUGUGAAAGAAAAAGGGACCACAAUUUCAUUAGCCAACAAAAAGUCGAACACAAAGAUUGGAACCACAUCAGUUAUGAAAUAAGCCAAAAAAGAAAACUAACACUUGUAUUCUGAAAUAAAAAACCCAAUUCAAUAUAAGUGGAGCUUCAAGGGACCACUAUCAUUAUACAAAACUACUGAAAUUUUACCAUAGUUUAUAAAUACAAAAGCACAAAUCUGUAGUCUUUUGUCUAUUAAAAACCUCAAAAUGUGCAAAUUUUCAAAUACCCAAGAAUCAAAAGGGACCACACUCUCAUUUUUAAUUCAAUGUGUUCCCCACAAAUGUUUCCCUUAGCAACGAAGCCAAACAAUUUUGCAUAAAGAGACAAAAAGCUUUGAAAACCCUAGGUCCCAAAAUCAUUGGCACCACUAAAUUUAGGCAUAAUCAGCACAAACGUGAAAAAAAAAAAAGCGAGAGAGAUAGAGCGAGAACUAAAAAGUGAUUCUGCUUUUACCUAAAAUUGUAGGAUAAACUUUAAAAGCUGCAGUAGGUCACGCCAAUCAUCCUUCGAACCAUGAAUUUUCUUUAACCAAAAUAGAAGCUUUCGAAACCGGUCCCAAAUUCCGUCUUUAAGUGCAGAGAAUUGAUUUUGUUUCUGCAAAUACUAGAAUUCCGAAUUGGAGCAUGAAGUAUAUUCUUUUUUUUUUUUUACUGAGAGUGAAGGUUGCCGAGUAUAGAGAAUGAGAGGAGAAAAAAUUUUCUAAGUCAAAAUAGUUACAGCCUUUCCCUUGUUAUUUAGUAAAACGACGUAGUUUACUCUAUAUAAAACUACACAGUUUUAAUUCAGGAGAAUCUUUUAAUAAUAAUUUGUGAAAAAGGCUAAAGAAAUA
rnacentral:lncRNA from 1 species